rnacentral:lncRNA from 1 species
CAAAUUAAUUCUAUGAAUUAAAAUUACUUACCUCCCCGGCAACGGCGCCAAAAUCUUGUUCUGCAAAUUUUAAUGUACUCGCAAGCGCACGAAUCUAUUGUAGUAUAGACUAAUGGUGACGAGUGUCGAUCCCACGAGGAGGUGGAUUUUAAUUGUGUAGAAUUAAUUUUGUAAAUGGGUGAUUGGAUUUGUGGUGGAAAUGAUUUGGAAUAUGCUAAAACUUAAAUUAAAAUGGCGAGAAUAAAUUCUAAAAUUGGUAUUGAAAUGGCGAGAAUAAAUUGAAGAGAAUUAUAUUGAAAUGACAUACUUGGGUAUCUGGAUCCGUAUCAACAUGCAUCAUGGGCUAAAUAAUCCUUAUUAAUGCCAAUUAAAUCAUGAGGGGGGAAUCCACACCUUAUGAACCACGCUCUAAUCAAUAUGGUGCUAAGGGCUUAUUGUGCCAAAUAAUAAUAACCUUAUACUAGAGAGCCGGUGUAACCAAGGCAGUAUCUAGACAAGAUUAUUAUUAUUUGUCGACGAGAAGUCAAAACAUCCACAAAAACUAGAGGGGAAGAGAAAAUAAAUUUACCAAAUUAAGCCCAUGACACAUGUUGAGACUUCACCUUCAACCCAAGCUUGAAAGAAAAUUAGCCACUCAUAAUUGAACUAGGGGCAAAAUAGGAAUUUAUUAAAAUAUGAAGCAAAUACAAGAUGGAAAAGGAAUUACAGAAAAUAGAUCCCAAAAAUGGAUUCAGAGAUAUCAAAUUAGGGGGGGAGGCCCCCUUUUUAUAGAUACAUGGAGUAAAUCAUGGCCAUCGGAUUAAAAACAGUUUGGACGCUCAGGAUUGCGCCACGUCAUCAGUCAACAGUCCAUGGUUUGACCACGCGGAUGAACAGUAACACGGUUUGACUCGGAUGAACAGUAACGAAGUUUGGUUGAAAAUAAUCCUGUGUGAUGCAUGUACCGUACGCGAGAUUUUUCAUCCACUGAUAUGCUGCCACGUCACCAUCAACAGUACAUAAGAAUUUUAGCCCAACAGGAUCGUGACACCUCAUCAGUCAAUGCCACAUCAUCGGUCAAUGCCAUGUCAUCGAUCCGUCUAUGUGAACAGUGUUGUGAACAGUAACGUAGUUAGUACCGUACAUGUGAAUAGUACCGUACAUAUGAAUAGUGCCAUUUUUCCUUUUAUGCUCCUCCUAAGGUUUUCGACCGUCCUGAGUUCAAAAGUGAUGUCCGUUUUGCCGUCUAAUCUCUCCUUUAUUGUGAAAUGACUAUAAUGGCCCUAAAAUACAUGAAAUACUUAAUUAAAAUAAAACACAUGUAAUUUAAUCACAAGAAGGUUAAAUACAUAAAAGUAAGGGUUGUUAGUAAGACUUGAAAUGUAAAAUGACGGUUUUCUCCUUUAUAAAUAUGCAUUUUCUAACACUCAACAACUACCCCAACAGAAUGGUCACUGGCAUCACGCAUCAGCUCAAAUGGUAGAGUCCAAUCUGGUGCUAUAACCACCGGUGCAGUGAUCAAAGCUUUCUUCAAUUCUCCAAAGGCUUGAAGAUAGUCUUUAUUAAAAUGAAAAAGCUUGUCAUGUUCUAGCAAUGAGCAUAAUGGUUUAGCUAUUUUGGAAAAGUAUUUAUGAAUCUUUUAUAAAAUCCAGCAUGACCCAAAAAAUUUCUAAUCCCCUUUAUUAAAGUAGGAGGUGGCAGUUUAUCGAUCACUUCUAUCUUCACUUUAUCUACUACUAUGCCACUCUUAGACACCUUAUGACCCAACAUUAUGCCUUCUUGCACCAUGAAGUGACAUUUUUCCCAAUUGAGUACUAAGUUAGUCACCUCACAUCUUUUAAGAACUUCUUCCAAGUUGUGUAAACAAUCAGUAUAUGUCUCUCUGAAGACUAAGAAACCAUCCAUGAAGACUUCCAAUGUUUGCUCCACCAUAUCCGAAAAAAUAGACAUAAUACAUCUCUAGAAAGUUGCUGGAGCAUUGUAUAAACUAAAGGGCAUCAUUCUGAAGGCAAAAGUUCUAUAAGGACAUGUAAAUGUAGUCUUUUCUUAAUCCUCUAGGGCUAUAGCAAUUUGGUUGUAGCUUGAAUACCCAUCUAGGAAAUAAUAAUAUUAUUUUCCAGCAAGUCUAUCCAACAUUUGAUCUAUAAAUAGAAGUGGGAAGUAAUCCUUUCGAAUGGCUUUAUUGAGCUUCUUGUAAUCCAUACAUACCCUCCAUCCAGUCACUGUUCUUGUGGGAAUAAGUUCAUUCUUUUUAUUUGCUAUCACUGUUAUUCCUCCCUUCUUUGGAAUAAAUUGAACUGGGCUUACCGAUGAACUGUCUGAUAUCGGGUAUAUGAUCCCAGCAUCCACUCAUUUGAUAAUUUUUUUUUUCACAACUUCCUUCGUAAUGAGAUUUAACCUUCUCUGUUGCUCUACUAAAUUAUUGUAGUAGUCUUCUAAUAGAAUUUUAUGCAUGCAUAUGGAUGGGCUGAUCCCUUUAAUGUCUGCCAUAGUCCAUCCAAUUACUUUUCUGUAUCUCCCAAGCACAUCUAUCAGGCUCCUUUCUUGAUCUGCAUCCAAAGUAGAUAAAAAUGAUUACAGGAAGUGUAUUGUUUUGACCAAGAUAAGCAUAUUUCAAAUGUGAAGGUAACAAUUUUAAUUCAAGAGUAUGAGGUGAUUCAAUAGAUGGUAAAGUUGUCUUUACUUCCAUGUCUGAAAGAUUUAAAGGUUCAAUAAAUCUGCUAUGUCUGUUAGAUUGCCUUUCUCCCAUCCAAUCUAUCUAAUUUGCUGCAACAUCUUCUUCUUCAAAGCUUUCAAAGGUUGCAGCUUCAUUAACCGCGUUACUGCAGCAUCUAUUUCUUCUGUCUGCUACAGCAAGAUCCACAACACUCAGGAAAUUACAAUCUUAUGCCUCAUCAGAGUUAUUCAUGGCUUCUAAUACAUUGAAGGUGACUUGUUGGUCCCUCUUUUCUGCACAUCUAUCAGAGUCUUCCCGGUUGCUAGGAAAAGUCUCCCAAGUAUAAUUGGUACCUCUUUAUCAGCCUCAAAGUCUAGUACAAUGAAAUCUACUGGAAAGAUAAAUUUGUCAACCUUCACCAAUACAUCCUCAAUCUUUCCUUCACGGUAUGUAUGAGAUCUGUCAGCUAAUUGUAGAGUGACUGUUGUUGGCCUGAACUCUCCUACUCUCAAUUCCUUAAAUACAGAUAAUGGCACCAGCUUAAUGCUAGCUCCCAAGUCAUAAAGUGCUUUGACUUUGUACCUAGUUCCAAUGGAACAUGGUAUUGUGAAGCUUCCUAGAUCCUUCAAUUUUUGAAGGAUCUUACUUUGAAGCAUGUGACUACAUUCCUGUGUUACAGCAACGUUUUAAAUUCUCUCAACCUUUUUUUCUUGCCAAGAUAUCUUUUAGAAAUUUCACAUAAUUAGGCAUUUACUCCAAUGCUUCCACGAAAGGUAUGUUGAUAUGUAACUGCUUCAGCACUUCCAGUAAUUUGCUAAACUGAUUGUCUUAUUUUUAUUUAUGGAAUCUCUGUGGGAAAGGGGGUGGAUGCUUAAAUUGCUGGGCAACUUCAGGAGGUACCAAUCUCUGCUCAUUUGAUUUAUUGUAAGUGUUCACUACUGGUGUUGCAACUUUUUCUUCAGCAUUUAUUUGUUGAUUCCCUUCUAAAGUUGUUGUAGCUUGACCAUUAGCACCAGUAUCUUGAUGGCUGGGUUGUUGUAACAUGCUCUCAUCUUGAGGUGGUUCUUGUUAGGAGUUAAGUUCCAACUUUUUUUUAGCCACAUCAAUAGGGAUAUAAACAUUCUUUCUAGAUCUUAGGUUGAUUACUUUACAAUGUUCUUUUUCCUCUCUUCUUGGAUCUUCUGUAUUGCUGGGCAAACUUCCCUGAGAUCUGCUACUCAUUGUUGUGGCAAGCUGUCCAAUUUGGUUUUCCAAGUUUCUUAGAGAUACAGCUUGACUUUGCACAAUUACUUCAUUCUUCGCAAUGUAUUCCUCGAUAAGUGUUUCUAGUGAAGUAAGUGGAUCAUGGCUAAUGUGUUUUUUCCGUUGAUUCUGCUGAUGAAAACCAAGUGGUUGAGUAUUUCUGUUCUGUCCACUCAGUGUUGAAGCAUUUUGAUUUUGAUUGCUCCAUGAGAAAUUUGGGUGUUGCUUCCAUCUAGGGUUGUAAGUAUUUGAGUAUGGGUUGUUUUGAGGCUGUCGGUUGAAAUUGCCCACAUAGCUUACUGAUGCUGGAUUUCCUGGACAGUUGUCGAAUACAUGUUCCUCACCACAAUACACGCAAGACAGUUCAGCAACUUGCUUUACCGCUGCAGGAGCAAAAGUCAUGGCUUUCACUAUGUUAGUCAAUUAAGUUACUUGUUCUGAUAAUGUUGUAAUUGCAUCUAUAUUAUGUACUCCCGCUGCUCUUCUUGCUGUUGUCUGUCUAGCUGAUGGCCACUGAUAAUUAUUAUUGGCAAUUCUCUCCAAAAUUUCAUAGGCUUCAGUGUAAGAUUUAGAUAACAGAGCUCAAUUUGCUGAACCAUCAACCAUCAAUCUCAUACUUGGAUUUAACCUAUUAUAAAAGGUUUCUAGCUGUAUGCAGCAAGGAAUGCCAUGAAGAGGACACCUUCUGAGCAACUCUUUAAAUCUCUCACAAGCCUCAUACAAACUCUCAUCUUCAAGUUGGUGAAAGGAAGUGAUCUCAUUCCGCAAUUUUGCAUUCUUGAUUGGUGGAACAUAUUUCAUUAAGAAUUUGUCAGCCAAGUCAUUCCAUGUAGUGAUGGAAUCAGAUGGUAAUGAGUUUAACCAUAAUCUAGCUCAAUCUCUUAAGGAGUAAGGAAAAAGCCUUAGUCUUAAAGUAUCCUGUGUUGCUCCAGUAAUUUUAAAAACAUCACUUAGUUCCAAAAAUAACUUAAGAAUGUAAUUGAUUUGACUGACAUACUUUUGUUAACGUCCAAAUAUAAGUAUUAUACAUAAUAAAAAAAUUAAAUUAAAUGACUUACUAAAUAACUUAAGUGCAAAUUUGUAUUGCCUUUGUUUUUAGUCUCUUUCUAUGUUCAACCUCAUCUUUUGAUUUAACAAAUGGAAGUGAAUUACUCUUCAUAGUAAAUGAACAAAUUUCUUGCCCAUAUGAUACUAACGUAAAAGCAAAUGGGUCACGAUAGGUAGAAGUAUCAACUUUGAUAGAUGGUCAACCUCGUAUUCUUGUCUUCACUUUUGGAUCUAAAAGAAAGAUACUCCUAGGAUUCUAACUAGAUUUAAAUAGAACUCUCAUUAAACUGCUUAGAAAUUAACUCAAACUUUGGCUGACAACUUAACUCCAUCUUUUGCUUCUAAGUAACAACUACUAAAUCAGUUUUUUUUCCAAUGAAGAUUAAUUCCCUCAAGCAGAAUAAGCUGUGAUUUUCUUUUGUAUUCUGCAACCUCAUGAGCACAUGGCAAACUAUACAUUUGGCAAACAAAAAACCUGCAUACAGAGUGGUCAACCCUAAUAGAAAUUAACACGUUUCAGGUCACUAAGGAUUAUACUUAAUGCAUUUACAUAUAUGAAGCCUCAAUAUGUUUGAAUUCCAUAGGCAUGAACAGAUGUUGCACAAUUGUCAAAAGUUUCUCAAAUGAUGCUUUAAUAUAUGUGUACUAUAGCUCAAGUAAAUUGUGUAUCUUUGCCCAUAAUGUCUUAAAAUUUCCUUGAAUGAUGGAAAGAUACUUCUUCAACCUUGAUUGUGCACUUUUAACCCUAUUAAAAAGAUAAUGAUGAUGAUGAUAAUAUAUGAAUAAAUUAGAUGAGUAAGUUAAUGGUAAAAUUAAAAUUAUAUAUAUAUAAGUCAAAAGGACUCAUUGUUAACUCAAGAUCCCCAUGGUCUUGUGCCGCGUUUUAUGUUAAUAAAAAUUCUGAAAUUGAAAGAGGCACUCCUAGAUUAGUUAUAAACUACAAACCUCUUAAUAAUGCCCUAAAAUGAAUUAGGUAUCCAAUACCUAAUAAAAAUGAUUUGCUUCAAAAACUAUGUUCUGCUCUUAUUUUUUCAAAAUUCGACAUGAAAUCUGGUUUUUGGCAAAUUCAAAUUCAUCCUAUUGGCCGUUACAAAACUGCUUUUACUGUUCCAUUUGGACAAUAUGAGUGGGCUGUUAUGCCCUUUGGUUUAAAGAAUGCACCUUCGGAAUUUCAAAGAAUUAUGAAUGAUAUUUAUAAUCCUUAUUCUGAUUUUUGCAUUGUUUACAUUGACGAUGUGUUGAUAUUUUCAAAUUCAAUCGAUCAACAUUUCAAACAUUUAAAGACUUUUUAUUUUGCCACCAGAAAGGCUGGAUUGGCAAUCUCUAGUUCUAAAGUUUCUUUAUUUCAAACAAAAGUCAGAUUCCUUGGUCAUCAUAUUUCUAAAGGAACAACCACUCCAAUCGAAAGAUCCCUUUUGUUUGCAGAUAAAUUCCCUAAUAAAAUUCUUGACAAAACCCAAUUACAAAGAUUUCUUGGAAGUUUUUCUGCAGUUACAAAGAAUGUCAUUAAUGUCAUUAAAAAGGAAUUUGAUUUGGAUAAAACUCUUUUGCAUAACGAUUUUUAUUCUGAUUUGAACAAAGAAAAAAAAAUUUGGUUCUUCAAACAUUUUUUAAAUCAAAGAAAAGAAAUCCAACAAACUUAUUAUGAAUUUGUGAAUCUUCAUAAAGUUCAUAUAUUGUUUUUUGAUUGGUUCGAAAUAUAUUCUUCUGAUAACAACAUCAAUUACCCUUUUAAAGAAUCAAAUCCUAUUGCAAUUAGGAAGAAAAUUCCUGAAUGGAAACUUCUUGAUAGUGAUAGGACUAUAGAGUCUGAACACCUACCUCUUCGGAGUGUAACCGUUGAUCACGGUGAACCUCCUGUCCAAAUUCGAGCUUUACCUUACAAAAUUCCAAAACCAAAUGAUUCUGAGGCAAAUUUAAGUAAUAUUAUCCAACAGAAUAAUUUCUUUAAUACUAACUUAAAUACAAUCGGAAAGCAGUUGACUAGGAUAGAAAACCAAAUCCAGAAGUCAACCAUUACUGUUCCAUCAAUUUCUCCUAUUCCAACAAAAUCGGAUUAUGACAAAAAGCUUAAGGAACCUAUUUUCAAACCCUUUCAGGUUUUGAAAACUAGCAAAAAGCUUGUUCAAGAGUCAAAAUCAGAUUUUGCUAAAGCCAUUAGAGAACAAUUAGAUAGGAUAGAAGCUGCUUCUUCCUCAUCUAGCAAAGUUCAGAUAGCCCCUGAUACUCCUCAAUCUAGCAAUAUUGGAGUAUUAGAACAAGACCAAAUGUCUAUAGCCUCUUCUGAUAUAGAAGCUUUCAAAGAAGAACCACCUACUCCCAAAGCAAACAAAAUUCAUUGGGAAUUAGCCCUUCCCACUGUCAAGACUCCACCAGAUCUAGCAAUAGAUAAUAGACCAAGUGCACUAAAUCAAUCCCGAUACAAUGCAUCUUCAGUCUAUGAGUGGAAUAUUGACGGUAUGUCCGAGUACAAUAUCCUAGGAUUGUUGCAACAAAUGACAAUGGCAGCCAAUGCCUAUAAAACCCAAGCAGGAACUUCUGAUCGUGCUAUAUCAGAGAUCCUCAUUGCUGGUUUUACUGGUCAAUUAAAAUGUUGGUGGGAUCAUCUUCUCACUAAUCAGCAACAAUUAGACAUUCUAAAUUCCAUUCAAGUCGAUGAAAAUGGAGCCCCUAUUUUUUAUGAGUUCAACAAUCCAAUUCAGGAUGCUGUUGCUACUCUAAUUUUAACCAUUUUCCUCCAUUUCAUUGGUGACCCUUCACACCUUCGUGAUAAAAACGCUGAGUUACUACAUAAUUUAAUAUGUAGGAAACUUAGUGAAUUUCAAAACUACAAAACCUCAUUUUUUAUCAGAUUAUUUUUAAGAGAUGAUGCAAAUCAUACUACUUGGAAAGAAAAUUUUCUUGCUGGAUUACCUACCCUUCUAGGUGAAAAAGUAAGAAAUUCUAUUAAAGCCCUUUAUGAUAACCGUAUUCCUUAUGACGAGCUUACCUACGGUGAACUUGUCAGUUUCGUCAAUAAAGAAGGUUUAAAGAUUUGUAAAGAUUUGAAAUUACAGAAACGUCUUAAGUGGGAACUUAAGAAGACUAAACAAGAGUUAGGCGGUUUCUGUAAACAAUUCAAUUAUGACCCCUUUAAAACUCCUAUCUCCAAAGAUUGUAAUGGUGAGUGUUCCACUAAACCUCGCAGGAAACAUUACAAAUCUAAAAAUUUUAGGAAAUCCUUUCGUAAUUUUAGAGAACUUCCUUAUAAGAAACCUUCGAGGCCUUAUAAAAAACCCAAAUUCUAUAUAAAAGAGUUUAAAGCCAAACCAAAGACUCCUUUCAAUUAUAAAGAAGCUAUAUCUCAUAAGUGUGGCAUGAAAGGUCAUAUUUUUAAGAGAUGAUGCAAAUCAUACUACCUGGAAAGAAAAAUUUCUUGCUGGAUUACCUACCCUUCUAGGUGAAAAAGUAAGAAAUUCUAUUAAUACCAUAAGGAAAUAGGAUCGAAGGAUGGAAGUGCUUUCAUCGGAAAACUUAUGAGUGCUUUAAUAAAAAAAAUUGGAUCGCAGCUGGCUCUUUUUAAUUAGUUUUACCGGGUUUGGUUAUUAGAUUCUUGAAAAAUUAAUGGAUGGAUUUGCUUUGGAAACGUGGUUGAUCAAAUUUUAUAUAUUUUAUUAAAUUAGUACGGGGCGUUGUUAAACCAGAUCGAUGCAGAAGGGAAUAUGCCUUUGGACCCAGAUCUGACUUAGAACAGAUCAAUAGCCCGCACGUUCAGGUUUCCAGUCGAUAUACUAACUUAAUUUUGCUUUACCAAAUAAUAAUUAAGUUCUUUAAACGCGGUUGUCAGAUUUUAAACAAUUUACCAAAUCUUUAUUAAAUUCUUUAGCAAGCCUAGCAACACAUACAUCUAAAGGCUUGGGUACAAACACAGUACCAGAUCCGGUUCCCAGAAAUGGUGCUCUGAAGGAAUGGAGGGAGAAGAGAAGAUUUUACAACUGAGGAUUGAGAUCUGGUCUCUUUGCCUCAGAGGAACGUACAAUUUAUAUGGCAGAUCUGAUACAGAUCAAUCUGCAGAGCAUGCAUAGAAAGCUUUAAAAGACUGAAAUUUAAAUGCUUUGAAUGUGAAUUGCGGAAAUUUAAAUUGCUGAAAUUUAAAUAAAAUUACAAAUGCUUUAAUAAAACUGGAAUGAAAUGCUUUAAUAAAACUGGAAUGAAAUGCUUACAUCGAUUGGUUUUCUUUGUAGAGAAGAAAGGAAAAUAAUGGGAAAUUAAUCUGAAGACAGGAGAAAUUCCUUUUUGUCUUCAGAUUCCAGAUUCCUAUUCCCGGAGAGAGAGAGAGAAGAAGAAGAAGGAGAAGAAGUUUUUUAGAGAGAAGGGAGAGAAGAAGAGAAAUGAAAAACCUGAGGAGUCUAAGUCUUCCUCUUGGUUUUUAUACAAAAAUUUUUUAAACUGUUCACUGUAGCGGAGUUUUAAGUGCACAGUAACAUCUGGAACUUUGCACUGUUCACUGUAGCAAGAAUGAAGCAAACAGUAAGCUUUGGAUCGUAUGUAACAGUAGUCUUUGGAGCGUAUGUUGGAAUAGUACCGAUGUAGAAAUACGGGUGAAGAGACAUGUGCGCUCUCACUUGUGUCCAGAGGACCACCCGAAAAUACAAAAAUUGGGAAAUAACAAAUAUUUACUUUUUUUUUAAGUACAAAAUUGUACAUAAAAAAAAUAAGUAAAGUUCGAAUAAUACAGCUUUAAUGCUUUAUUGGAGAGAAAAUGCCGAAGCAGUCAUCUUCAUUUUCAUCACCAAGAGAAAUAAAAGGUUCUGCAUUUCCUGAAGUGCUUGAAGAGGAACUUGCAACAGAUGUCUCUGACCUUGUGGCGAGAAGUUGUUGCAUGACAUUGAAAUAUUCUUCUUCAGUCUUGGCGCUAGCAAGGAGAGAUUGGGCUUUGGUUUUUUAGCUCAAGAAGGUUUGAUGGGCUUUGGAUUGUUGAAUGGUCGGUUGAAGAAAUCCUUUGGCAGAGAGCCAAUUUCGAAUCAAAAUGUCAGUCAAUUUUGACUGUUCGUCAAAAUUCGACCACCAUUUUACUUUGAAGGUUCUUUGUAGGAUAAUCUGGGCAUCUUGAGUGUGGUAUUUAAGAUUCCACAUCCAAACCCAAGGAAGAAAGAAAUUUGUACAGAAAUAGAAGAAAGGCGAAAAUCUUUUUUCUGAUUCAGAGGGAGAAUAAUGGGCUUUGAACAAAUUUAAACAGUGGGUGGCAUUUGGUGUAAGGAUAUCCGGAGUUGGGCCAAAAUAAUUCCACCAUUGUUUAAACCAAUUAGGAAGGCUUUUCAUGGUUAUUUUAGAAUUAAAGAAAAAUAACCAUGAAUGAGAUUUUUUGGGGUUUUGUAAGAAAAAUGUGUUGUACCAGGCUUGUUGAUAAUCCCAGUGGGAGAAAGUCAAACAAUGUGGUAAACGCAUUUGAAAAUUGGAGGGAAAUCUUUUUUGAUUAUGGAGUAGAUCACCCUAUUGGUUUGGGCUCAAAACUUUUAAAAUUGUAGCCGUUGAAUAAGCCGGCUCAGAAUGGGAGUCACUGAGGAAAAAAUGUUUGAAUUUAACGGAUUCAGUGGCUUCCAAAAUGCUUUGAUAGUAAGGCUGGGGUUUUGUUAAAUCCCAUGGUUUGAAAAACCAGCCUUUAGGGAAAAUCUUUGUAAGGGUUUGAAAUGGAUCAGAAUGGUAAAACCCUUCUUCAAUAGUUAAAAUAUUUUGGGAAUGGGUUUUAUCAAACCAAAUCGAAGUUUUCUGUGUUGGUUGUGAAAGAACGAUCUGAGACGACGAGCUUUCACCAGAAACAACAACAUUUUGGGAAAAGGAUUUUGAAAUUUCUUUUGGGCUUUCUUUUUCAGAAAUUUCUUUUGGAGGAGUUUGGCUUUGAGAAAGGCUGCUUUGUAGGGCGAGCAUAAGCUCAGGUGAUUUAGAAAUGGAUUUCAUCCAUAGAUUUACUUGCUCAUGGGUAGAGAGGGCUUUAGAUUUUUCUUCCUCAUCUUGAAUCAUGUCAAUCCAAGAUCUGAUUGGCGUGGCAGAUGAUAAAAGUUUUUCUUUAGGAGGAGAAGAUUGGGAGGCUUUUGGAGUGGCUUUAGGUUCAGGAUCUUUGGCUAUGCCUUUUCCUUUGUCUCUUCUUUUGAGCGGCAUUAUCUGUCUUGAAGAAAUUCCCGAGUUAGAAAAUCAGGAAUAUAAUUUGUAUCACCUUUAAUAUAUUCAAUAUCAAAAUCAAAAAUACUUAAAAUGGCUUGCCAUCGUGCAAAAAUUUGUUUCGAUGCAAUAUUUUGAACAUCUUUUUCCAAAACAUGUUUUGCAGCUUUGCAAUCAAUUCUAAGUAGAAAUUUUUGAUUUAAUAAAUCACUUUGAAAUUUUGUAAUGCAUAAAACAAUGGAAAGGAUUUCUUUUUUUAUAGUAAAAUAAUUUUUCUGGCAAUCAUUCCAAUGUGCAGAAACAUUUUGUAUUAUCUGUUCUUUAUCAUUUUCUUUUUGCUUUAAUAUGCCUCCAUAGCCUAAAUCAGAUGCAUCAGUUUCAACAAUUUUAGGUAAUGUAGGAUUAGCAAGAUAUAAACAUGGGAUGCUUUUUACAGAAUUCUUUAUAAGCUUUACAACCUUGGUAUGUUCAUCUGUCCAAGGAAUAGGUUUUUUCUUUAAUCUAUCAUGCAAGGGUUUAGACAUCCUAUUAAUGUUAGGACAGAAAUCAAGAAUAUAAUUUAGACUUCCAAGAAAUCUUUGUAAUUGGGUUUUGUCAAGAAUUUUAUCAGGGAAUUUAUCUGCAAACAAAAGGGAUCUUUCGAUUGGAGUGAUUGUUCCUUUAGAAAUAUGAUGACCAAGGAAUCUGACUUUUGUUUGAAAUAAAGAAACUUUAGAACUAGAGAUUGCCAAUCCAGCCUUUCUGGUGGCAAAAUAAAAAGUCUUUAAAUGUUUGAAAUGUUGAUCGAUUGAAUUUGAAAAUAUCAACACAUCGUCAAUGUAAACAAUGCAAAAAUCAGAAUAAGGAUUAUAAAUAUCAUUCAUAAUUCUUUGAAAUUCCGAAUGUGCAUUCUUUAAACCAAAGGGCAUAACAGUCCACUCAUAUUGUCCAAAUGGAACAAUAAAAGCAGUUUUGUAACGGUCAUUAGGAUGAAUUUGAAUUUGCCAAAAACCAGAUUUCAUGUCGAAUUUUGAAAAAAUAAGAGCAGAACAUAGUUUUUGAAGCAAAUCCUUUUUAUUAGGUAUUGGAUACCUAAUCCAUUUUAGGGCAUUAUUAAGAGGUUUGUAGUUUAUAACUAAUCUAGGAGUGCCUCUUUCAAUUUCAGAAUUUUUAUUAACAUAAAACGCGGCACAAGACCAUGGGGAUCUUGACUUAACAAUGAGUCCUUUUUACUCUAAAUCUUUGAUUUCAUGUUUGCAAUGUUGUUCCAAUUCCAUGUUCAUCUGGAUUGGACGUGCUUUAGUGGGGAUCUGUCUUUCAUUAAAAGAAGCUUCAUAAGGUAGAUCUACCAUGUGUUGUUUUCUGUUCCAAAAAGCAGAAGGUAGAUCAGCACAAAUUUCUUUUUCAAUGAGAGUUUUGAAAUCAGAAAUCUUUCUUUUAAUGAAAUCACUUUGUAAUUGGCUUUCAAUUCUUUGUAAGUUUAAAUCCUUUUAUAAAAACAUUAGAUCACACUGUUUUGAUUUAAGUAGGUUAUUUAUUCUGUUUUGAUAAACAGAACAGGCUUUAACAAUAUUCAAAUUCCUUGUUUUAGGUUUUUCAAUAAAAGGGAAAACAAGUUUUUCAUUUUUUGCUUUGAAAGAUAUACUAUCGUAAUUGACAGUAUAAGGAGUUAUAAGAUUUAUAAAAGGAGUUCCUAGAAUGAUGGCAUGAUGUAUGUCAUUUGUAAGAACAAAAGAAGUUUUAAAUUCAAAACCAUCAUUAUGGAUUGAGGCUUCAACUUUAGAACUGACAUUAAGUUUUGAAUUAUUGGCGGCAGAAAGUCUUUCUUUAGUUUUCUCAUGAAAUCUUUUGGGGACGAUGUCUUCUCUAAUGCAAUUUAAAUCGGCGCCAGUAUCAAAAAGGGCAAUGGCAUCCAUUGCAAAAUCAUCAGAGAAGAUUAAAGUGACUUUAAUCAAAUACUUUCUUGUGGUGAUUUGUUUUAAAACAAAUAGAAAAUCAUUGGGAAUAGAUUCAAUGUUUUCUAAAUUUUGAUCAUUGUUAUCACCAUUAUCAUAAUUGGAUUCAUUAUCCGAAUUGUCUUGUAAUUGCUUUUGCAAAACAAGUUGGAUAGUUUCAGAAUCACUUUUUUGUUUUUCUUUCAAAUCCUUUAUUUCAAGUUUAAUGUCUUUGAUUUCUUUUUGAAUAUCCUGAAUUGUGGGUGUUGACUUUUUUGUUUUCUUUUUAUCCAAAAUCUGAGUAAGAUCAUAAGAAUUAUUUUUAACAAUUGGGACUUUAGAAAUCUCGGCUUUAUUAAAAUCCAAAGUUUUCAAAAGUUUAUCAAGAUAUUUCUUUUGAAGAUUCGGAUCAGAAAUAUGCUUUACAAGUUCAAGAAAGGUUUCUUGGUCUUUAGUCAAAACAUUGAUUUUCUUUAAAAAUGAAUCAGAUUCAGAUUCACUACUGCUAGAUGCAGAGUCAUCUUAGUCAAAUAGCUCAUCAACUUGAUAUGGAUCACUGUCUCCUGACAUAGAAGACCCUGAAUCAAAAGAUUCGACAAGAAGGGGGCUAUUUUGGAAAAGAUCUCAUCAUCGAGGUCAAGCUCAUGAAGCUUUUUGUUCAUCCUGCAGUAAUUUGCAGUAUGACCUUUCAUGCCACACUUAUGAGAUAUAGCUUCUUUAUAAUUGAAAGGAGUCUUUGGUUUGGCUUUAAACUCUUUUUUAUAGAAUUUGGGUUUUUUAUAAGGCCUCGAAGGUUUCUUAUAAGGAAGUUCUCUAAAAUUACGAAAGGAUUUCCUAAAAUUUUUAGAUUUGUAAUGUUUCCUGCGAGGUUUAGUGGAACACUCACCAUUACAAUCUUUGGAGAUAGGAGUUUUAAAGGGGUCAUAAUUGAAUUGUUUACAGAAACCGCCUAACUCUUGUUUAGUCUUCUUAAGUUCAAAUCUUGACAAAUCUUUAAACCUUCUUUAUUGACGAAACUGACAAGUUCACCGUAGGUAAGCUCGUCAUAAGGAAUACGGUUAUCAUAAAGGGCUUUAAUAGAAUUUCUUACUUUUUCACCUAGAGGGGUAGAUAAUCCAGCAAGAAAUUUUUCUUUCCAAGUAGUAUGAUUUGCAUCAUCUCUUAAAAAUAAUCUGAUAAAAAAUGAGGUUUUGUAGCUUUGAAAUUCACUAAGUUUCCUACAUAUUAAAUUAUGUAGUAACUCAGCAUUUUUAUCACGAAGGUGUGAAGGGUCACCAAUGAAAUGGAGGGAAAUGGUUAAAAUUAGAGUAGCAACAGCAUCCUGAAUUGGAUUGUUGAACUCAUCAAAAAUAGGGGCUCCAUUUUCAUCGACUUGAAUGGAAUUUAGAAUGUCUAAUUGUUAAUGAUUAGUGAGAAGAUGAUCCCACUAACCUUUUAAUUGACCAGUAAAACCAGCAAUGAGGAUCUCUGAUAUAGCACGAUCAGAAGUUCCUGCUUGGGUUUUAUAGGCAUUGGCUGCCAUUGUCAUUUGUUGCAACAAUCCUAGGAUAUUGUACUCGGACAUACCGUCAAUAUUCCACUCAUAGACUGAAGAUGCAUUGUAUCGGGAUUAAUUUAGUGCACUUGGUCUAUUAUCUAUUGCUAGAUCUAGUGGAGUCUUGACAGUGGGAAGGGCUAAUUCCCAAUGAAUUUUGUUUGUUUUGGGAGUAGGUGGUUCUUCUUUGAAAGCUUCUAUAUCAGAAGAGGCUAUAGACAUUUGGUCUUGUUCUAAUACUCCAAUCUUGCUAGAUUGAGGAGUAUCAGGGGCUAUCUGAACUUUGCUAGAUGAGGAAGAAGCAGCUUCUAUCCUAUCUAAUUGUUCUCUAAUGGCUUUAGCAAAAUCUGAUUUUGACUCUUGAACAAGCUUUUGGCUAGUUUUCGAAACUUGAAAGGGUUUGAAAAUAGGUUCCUUAAGCUUUUUGUCAGAAUCCGAUUUUGUUGGAAUAGGAGAAAUUGAUGGAACAGUAAUGGUUGACUUCUGGAUUUGGUUUUCUAUCCUAGUCAACUGCUUUCCGAUUGUAUUUAAGUUAGUAUUACAGAAAUUAUUCUGUUGGAUAAUACUACUUAAAUUUGCCUCAGAAUCAUUUGGUUUUGGAAUUUUGUAAGGUGAAGCUCGAAUUUGGACAGGAGGUUCACUGUGAUCAACGGUUACACUCCGAAGAGGUGGGUGUUCAGACUCUAUAGUCCUAUCACUAUCAAGAAGUUUCCAUUCAGGAAUUUUCUUCCUAAUUGUAAUAGGAUUUGAUUCUUUAAAAGGGUAAUUGAUGUUGUUAUCAGAAGAAUAUAUUUCGAACCAAUCAAAAAACAAUAUAUGAACUUUAUGAAGAUUCACAAAUUCAUAAUAAGUUUGUUGGAUUUCUUUUCUUUGAUUUAAAAAAUGUUUGAAUAACCAAAUUCUUUUUUCUUUGUUCAAAUCAGAAUAAAAAUCGUUAUGCAGAAGAGUUUUAUCCAAAUCAAAUUCCUUUUUAAUGACAUUAAUGACAUUCUCUGUAACUGCAGAAAACAUAGGUGAUGUUGGAGGAGAAGGUUUCUUCUCUUCUUGACUUUGUACUUGUUGAUUACUAGUGUAGAUAGGAUGAGAAACGCUAGUGGUAUAAUCAACUGAUCGAAUGGAGGUACUAGGUAUAUCUGAAGUAGAAAACCUAGGUUGACUCUUUGUAGUUUGAAAAGGGAGAUUUAUAACAGAGAGUAUUUUCGUGAAUUUCCUUUCUAGUGAAGGAAUGCUUGAGCUCAACUCUUUAUCAGAAAAUCUGGAUGAGGUAGACCUUCUGAAUGAUAAUUUGACUUUACCAUCGGAAUACUGAGUUACAUUCUGCAACUCUGUAUUGGGCUCAAGUUGUUUUGGAAUCGCCGGUGGGGCGGCUCCUUCAAGAAUCCAUUCUUCUGGAAGAUUGACAUCUUUCCAUUGGAUUGGCUUCGGAAUUACAGUGUUUGCUUUAGACAAGUCAGUCUACAAGAGGAGUGUUUCAUCUCUUUUUGACUGGAAUUUGUGUUGCGUAUUAAAUGCAGAGACCAUAGCUUUGUAUGAAAUUUUAAAAAUUAAAGCAACUGGGAUAGAUCCUUUGACCAUAUUAUAAUUAUGGGUUUUGAUUUGUAAAAUCAUGCUUUUUAAAAUAUUUUUGUCUUUAAGAGAAAUUGUUAUAUUAGGAUAACAAUCAAAAGAAAUUAGACCUUUACAGACACUAGAUUCGAUGCUACUUAGCAAUGAAUCAUCGAAAGAGAUGAAUCGCCCAUCUCUUAAGAUAGCUAAAAUGGAAGUGUCAAGACCUUCUUUUGUUAAAGGCUUUAUUCCAACUUGGAUAAGACCAAUGUGAAUGUAUUUGAAAUUCUUUUCUUUUAAUUUCUUUAAAGAUUUUUCUGAAAACAAAUAAAUUGUUUCAAAAGGCUCUGAAAGAGUUAUGUCACGUUCUUCAGUCUUUAUAAUAUAAUCAUGUUUUAAAAUAUCAAGCAUUUUUGUUUUGUAAAUCUUUUCUUUGGAAAUUUUUGGAAGUUCCCAACAAUCAAUUGCUUUAUCAAAGUUCUCAAUAAUGAAUUUUUCUGAACUCAAAACAUGCUUUGAAUCACUAGUCUUCCCAGAAGAAGAGCUAGAAAAGGAUGAUGUUCUACCGAGUAGAGGGUUCAUGGUCAAGACCUUAUGGUCUAUUUUUGGUUUGGUUAGAAUGGCUACAGGUAUGGAUUUACAGCCCUCAGCGGAAUCCUUAUCCUAAAACGGGACUUACAACCAGUAAAAAUUCACCACAAAAACAAAACUUCAAAAUAAAACACAAGAUUUUAAACACGAAACUCUAAACAAUAAAACACUUUCCUCCCCUUGGCUCUAAUACCAGAAGGAAAUAUAUAUAUAUAUAUAUAUAUAUAUAUAUAUAUGUUGUCAAGUUUCCAAAGAUCAUACUUUUAGCUGUCAACGCUAAGGACGGCAAAAUCUUCUAUGGGUUUAGAGCCCCAUGAGGCCCCACCCCAAAUGGGGUAAAUUUUGAAUAAUUUUUAGGGAAUGGGAUAAGGAAUUGGGGAAAAAUAAUCUCAAAUUAUUAAUAGGGUGAGAUUUGAUUUUGUACUUCCCACACCACCCCUACCCCAAUCCUUAUUAUAUAUAAUUGUUUUUAAUUUUUAUUCAAUAAUUCUUGCUUUAUCAAUUAUAAUGUUAGUUAAUAAAUUUUCUUUUUAUUUCUACCUAAUAUAAAUAGGUUAUAACUAAAAGAAAAUCCGAUAUUAUAAUUCUUAGUUAACCCUAAAAUAUUGUUUUAUUUUCCUUUCUCUCUCAAGGGCUACUCUCUUUAAAUUUUUUUAGUUUUAAUAUAUUUCAAGAUAUUGUUUCAACAUUUUGGAGAUUUUUUUAAAUGAUUUGAAUACAUUAUAAUAUAGUAAUGAUUUUAUUUAAGUAUCUAAUUUUUAAUUUACUAAAACUAUUUAUCUAUACUUGCUAUAAAAUAAACAAAUGAGAAAUGGGGUAGGGAUGGAGAAAUCACUCCCCAUAUGUGAAUUUCUUAUCCUUGCCCCACUAAAUUUAUUAAAGGGCGGGGUGGGAAAUGGAGGCAAAAUUUUUAAUGGGGGAGGGAGGGAAUGGGGUAUGGCUCCCCACCCCCACCCUCUUCAUUGUCAUUCCUAGUCUACACUAAAACAAAUCUUUCUUUAUAGUUGUUCAACCAUGUAUCUGUUACAUAUUGCAUCACUUCCAAAAAGAUAUGCAAAAUAUUUGUGGAUGGUUUUAUAGUGGUCAAUGAAUUCAAUUUCAUUUAAAGAUAAUACCAAUAAGUUCCAACUCAUUAUGAACUUCUCCCACUUAUCAUUUGCUGCAAAUAACUUUUUGUAGUUUGCUAUGACAUUCAUACCAAUACGCCAUCUACAUAAAAAAUGCUUUGCAUUAGGAAAAAUUUUCUCAAUGGCAUUCAUUAAAGCCAACUUUCUAUCAGUGAGAAUGACCUUAGAUAAAAAAUCAUUGUCCAUUAAACUCCUUAAUCUAUCUAGCCUAUGUGUAGCUUUAUUCCCGCUCAGAACUCAUAUAUGUAUAAGCAACAUUAAAAGUCAUGUCAGUUGAUUCCAUUCCUAUAAAAUCUCAAAAAAAAUGAAGAUAAUAUUUAUUGAGUUUGUAAGUACAGUCCAUCAAUAGAACACUAGGAAAUGUGUGUAACAACUCCAUGCUCUUAGGUGCGCCUAAAAUAGGUCUUUUACAAUGUCUACGUUGUCAUAACACCUAUCCCACUCGAUGUAAUUAAAUUCAGAUAACUUAUUUAAAAGUUGUUGCAUUUGUGAUCUGCCAGCCAUCUCAAUCACUUUAUAUCUUUAUAGUACAUUUUCUGUUGACUUCAUUGUAGAAACAUUAAAAACAUCUUUUUUUAAGUGACUAAAAUAUCUUUUAGUUAUACUAUAUUUUUUGACAUGUCAACUAAUAUUGGUCUUUUUUCUACAAUUAAUCGCCCUGCAAAUGAGUACCGUUCAAGAUGUUUAAAAUUGGAUAAUUAUGCACUCAACGCACUAUAUUUAGUAUCCAAUUGUUAUAAAUGCUUAACUUUUAAAGGACAUCCAUAUCUUUUGUACCAGUUAUUCUCUAUUUUGAAUCUUUUUUGUUGUCUUUCUUCUUAUUUAUUUAUUUUUAUACUUUUCACCUGUGUCACAACCAAAUAAGAUCCUUGAUCUUUUACCACUGUGACCAAUUUUAGAUCUCUUGAUGACAACCAUUAUACCAUUUUUCUUUCUAACAUCACAAGUUCACUAAAUUAUUGGUUCUCUACUCUUGAAUGUCUAGAUAGGCAAAAAUGUCAUGUAUGUUAAAUAAAAUUCCAUAAACAUUAAUGCAAGGUUAAUUAUAAUCUAAAGUUACCUCAUAAGUUGUAAAUUCACCGUUAUAAUCCAUCACAGAAUCUGUAUCAGAAUUGAAAGAUCUGAUGGAAACAUAUCUUGCAUAUAGUAGGAUAUGGUUAUUGAAACUACACGUUACAUUUCGAAUAUGGUUACUAAAACUAUAGGCUACAUUUGGAAAACCUCUCUAUCAAUUUUGAAUAGAAAAAAAAAUCCCAAAAAUCAAAUAUGAAUUAAAGAAUUUCAUACUGUUCGUGAUUCAAAUUAUUGUUAAUAUUGUAUUGUUCCUCCACAAAGUCAAUAUCCAUCAAAUUAUAAGAAUUGUUGCCGUCAACAACAAUUGUCCUUGAUUGUUGCCCAUUGCCAAAUGCAAACAAAGAGAUAACCACCAACUUUAUUACCCUGAAUCCAAUCACAUAUGCCCACUUAACAAAAAUAUGUGGCUUGAAAGAAGAAUAUUGUCUCUAGUCUAUUAAAGUUUAACGAAAAUAUAUUUAGGGUUUAGCAAAACUAUAUUGAAUAUAAAGAUGGGUUCAAAGAGUAAAAAAAAAAUUAUUUUUUACUAUAUUUUAAUGUGCAUAAUUGUAAUUUAAUUUAGGGAUAUUUUAAUCAUAAAAUUAUUUUUAAAAGAGAGUUUAAUAAGUAGUUUGGUGGGUUCAAGUAGCUCUAUCCAUUUUUAUCCAAUAGCAUUUUUCCUAGUAAGAUUUUAAUGAGAUAACUUCAUAUCUUCAAGAAUCAUAUAUGUCAAGACAUCAACAAAUGACGUACUCUUUUUCCUUUAUUAAUAUUUGUUUCCAAUGACGGUUUUUUCUUUUUUUUUUUAAGUAAAGGUCUUAAUGAGGCAUUUUCUUUUGUAAUGAACAUCUAAGGGGAUUAUUAUGAAUUUAUUAAAAUAUAUAAAUCUAGUUGUUAAUAAGAUAGAUCUCUUAGUCUCCCCACUUGCAAGCCUUUGGUUACCAGUAACUCCCAGCGUCUCACAAGAAAUCAUGAUCUAUAAUGUUUCCAUUUAUAGAUUUAUAGGAGUGAGAAAAAAGAAAAGUAGAAAGAGAAAAGGCACCUACACCCACCAAGUUUAGGGAAAUAAUCAUGUAGACCCCAAGGUUUCAAUAAGGGACACCAAGGCCCCUUUUGACUAUAAUAUCCUUAGUAGAUUGUAACUAAAGAAAUUAACUUUAAAUUUUUUAAUUAAUAUAAAUAUUAUUUAAACAAUUUAAUUUGUCUAGUAGACUAAUAAAAUUAGAAUACUUUUAAUAUAUAAAAUAUUUUUAAAAUGUAAAUUAUUAUAUUUAUUGUAAUAAUAUAUUUAUUAUAAAUAUUUUAAAUAAAUAUUUGGGUUAAAUAGAUUUUACAAUUAAUAAAAUAUAUCUCAUAUAUUAAUAACAUUAAAAUUAUUUUAUAUAAUAUUGAAUUUAAUUUAAAUUUUUAUUUAGUUAUUUUAAUAUUAUUUUUCUAUUUAAAAUAAAUUUAGUUUAAUAUAGGAUUGCAAAUUAUUAAAAUAUUUUUAAAUAUUGAAAUUAUUUUAAAAUAUAUAUUGUUAUAUUUAUUUUAAUAUUAUAAUUGUAUUUAUUUGGGAGUUAAAUUUUUGAGUUAAUAGAACCAAAAGGCAUUUUUAUCAAAGAGGGUCUUGGUGUCCUUUUAUUGAAAAUAUAGAGNNNNNNNNNNNNNNNNNNNNNNNNNNNNNNNNNNNNNNNNNNNNNNNNNNNNNNNNNNNNNNNNNNNNNNNNNNNNNNNNNNNNNNNNNNNNNNNNNNNNAAAUGGAAUUAUUAAAAUUGAAAAAAUACAUAAUUAAAAAAAUGGUAUUUGAAAAUAGGAAAUAAAACUAAUUUUAUUUAUUAAAAAUAUAUUACAAAGAGAGAUGAGAAGAAGAAAUUGAGGGGAAAAAAGAGAAGAAAAUGUGUGGAGAGGUGUGUUACCCCGCUCUAUUUACACUAAUAUAUGAUUAAUUCACACCACACAAAUAAAUAAAGCUAAUUGCAUCUUAGCCAUACAUUUGUCUCACUAACAAAACAUAAACCUAACUUAAUCCACUCAAUCACAUCCAACACAUUCCACUAACAAUUACAGCACCUAACAUAUUAAAAACUUAUAAUUUCACAAUUACCUUAUUUACCAUGGUAAAAAAUUAUAAAUUUACAACAAAAGUCGCAAAUCCUCCUUGACAAAUACCUAAUUUCUCGGACUUUUAGAAUCCAAAUUUGACAUUUGUACAUUUGUUUGAAGCCUCAAAUUGCGUGAAAUUAUUGUUUUUACCUAAUAAACACAAAAAAAAUCAAAUAUUUAGAAAAAUAAUUAGAAAUUCAUAAUAUGUUAUAUAAUUACAAAUGUAAAUUAUAUUAUAAGCACAAAAUAAAAUUUUUAUCCCUUACUAAACAUAUAAUUUUUAACACUAAUCACCCCUUUUACUAUUCCUCAAGUAAAUCAGAAGCCAAACGAUCUUUUGGCUCUGCGCAUCUUCAUUCCAAGCACGUUUAAAAUUCUCUAUCAUAGUUUAAGUAAAACGCUCAACACCCUUAUCCUUAGCAGUAUUAUACGCCAACCCUAACUUUAAAUAUGUAAAAUAGGAUUUAGAUUCAGUGUUAAGUUAAAUUUUUUAUUAACUUUUUGGAAGAAUACAAUUGGUAGUUUUUGGAUAAGAAUAUAAAAUUAAUUAAAUCUUAACCAUAUAUUACUAUACACAUACAUCUAACAACAAAUUAUGAAGAUUUGAGCACAAGAUCAACUUAGUAUUGGGUCCAAAUUUUGUAAAAUAACUCCCUAAAUCCAUCAUUUUCUCUAUAACAAAUUGAGCAAAUGGCCCUGUAUUAUCCGCUUCCUCCGCAGGCUCAAACGGAAAAUUAACUGUCAUGUACUUGUUGUCCACUAAUUUAAGCAGUGUAGCACCACGUAGCUAUUACAUCACUAGGGACUUGAUUGUAGAAAUAAGGCAAGUCGAACCAGUGCAUGGCUUAAGCAUUAAUUGUCGCUAGAUCUACAGUUGAUUGUGCUGCCUGCCACGAUUGGUAUUGGAGAAAUUCUAAAAUACUUCUGAUGUAUUACAACUAAUUGAUGCAUGCAUGACAUGUGUAAUUGAAUUAAAUAUAUCCACCACUUGCAUGAUAGUUUUUCAAAAUAAAUGCACACAUAACAUAACAUCAUUUGCUUAUUCUAUGGCUGACAUGCUGCCUCUAAUGUAUUUUAGAAUUUCUCUAGCUAUGAACAUUGAUCAUGACUGGUGUUGUGGGUGGCUUUAGGACUAGACAAAUUAAGUGGUCGGCUAAGGUCUCAUAUUUAAGAAAAUAAUAAUUUUGAGUAUUUAUUUAUUAAUACAAUUAUAAUAAUUAUUCGAAGAUUCUAUUUUUUUAAGUUAAAUUUAUACUGUAGAAAAUUUUAAUUUUUACGCAUCUCAUUAUUAUUACUGUCAUUCAUCAUCAACUCCAUGUUUAAUAAUCUUUACCUUAAAAGUAAUUUUUUUAAUUAAAAAUACAAUUUUUACUGUAUAAUAAUGAUUUUUAACACUUUGAAACUUUAUUUUGAUAAUAAUUACAAGAAAAAAAUCCAAUGCUUUUCCUUUCCAAAAAAUAAUUUCUCUAUUAAAAUUAUUAAUGUUAGAUUUUAAAACUUUUAGGAUCCUAUUAACCCUAUUUAAAACCUCACUAAUGGAUAUUGAAUUAACAACCUAAAGUUUUUUACUCUCGUAUCUAUAAAGAAAAUUCUUCUGAUCUUUUCUAUAAAAUUCAUUUUUAUCAUCUGACGUCUGACCAUCAUAUUCAUCUCAACUAGUCAACUUUGUAUGUGUUAUCAUUCUAAUUAUUCUAAGCACAUAUUGUUUAAUGUAAAAAGGCCUUCGAAAAAAAAAUUCAUUAAGGUCUCCGAACUGGUAGAACCGACCCUAACUGGUGUGGUAAGAUGAUAUCUAUCGUUGGGUGGCUUUGUUGCAAAUUCUAAUUGUUUAGAGCUUGUGCCCGUGCCCAUGCCACUUUUGAACGUCCUAGCUAGCUGAAAAUUUGCAUCCAAAUAUAAAAUUAGGUUAGGUACCAAUCUAAGGUUUUGGUUCGAUGGGGGCCAUUAAAAAAUAAAUAAAUAAAUAAAAACUAAAGUUGGCUGUGACGUUAUACCAUUAAAAUUAAGAGGUCAAUAUCGUAGGAGUUACCAGGCGGAGCCAAGUUGAACUUGGAGAGCAUUAGAAAGAGUUUUUGACCCGAAUUUUUCAUUUUUAACCUUUUAAUUUCAAAAGAUUAGAUAGUUAUGGGCUUGCCUUUUUUGUUUGUGCUUCAACUUUUAUAAAUGUUGGUCCAAGCUGUCUUACUUUAUGGUUCACUUUUGGAAAGAAUUUUAUUAAUAAUGGGAUCAGAGGAUUCAUCAUCGUCUCUUUGCAGCAUCGGAUAAAAUUGGAACUGAUACAGGGAAUGCGUCAUGGAUGAUGAAAUGAAGCAACAAGACACCUUCCUGUGCAGUUAAAUUUCGAUAAAGUGAUUCAAUUCAGUGGAUUUCGGGGCUGGACGACUUGUGAUUUUACUUUUGACAAGUAAAGUCAAUGGAGAAAACGAUUCAUACCUCUAUAAAAACAAACUAUGAAAACCAAAAUAGGUUCAAUUUUUUCGUCUUUAGACUACCUUUUAUUUUUCACUCUCUUUACGUUGAGAUUUUUCUUUCUAUUUCUAUUACAUUAAAAAACCAGACACUUCUUUAAUUUUUCUAAUAAACCCAAAAAAAUAAAUUGGGCAUCGAAGGGUUAAAGGUAGAAAAAUUUUUAUUGCCUCUUAUUGCUUUCUGUUAUUGCAGGUGUUAGUGGAGAAUUGACAAAAACUUGUUGUGAAAAUUUUAAUAUACUCGCAAGCGCACAAAUCUAGAAAUAGAGUAGUGGUAACGAGGUCGAUCCCACAGGGAUUGUUAUAAAUUGAGAAGUCUAAUUUAAAUCUAAAAUUAAUAUUAAUUCUAACCUAGUUGAGCAAAUUGAGUUUUAAGAGAAAUUAAACUAAUUAAACUAAGAAAACAAUUAAAGCAAAUGAGAAAUCAAUAAGACAAAUUACCAAGGUUUCAGAAUCCACCACUAUUCAACUAGUAAUUAUCUAAUUAUUAAUUAGUUCCCAAUUUUAGAGUGACAACUCGAAAUCAAUCUAUGUCAUCUCAUGGAUAUAACAAUUAAGCCCAAGUAAUUAAAUCUAAUGUAGGUUCUUUUUCUGCUUGAUAAUAUGACAUCUAAGAAUUUCAUGUAAACAAAUUGAAUAACAAAGAGUCAAAGUUUCCUUAGCACUCUAUGUAAACAAUUUAAUGAAAGACAUAGAAUCAAAGAUAAUCAUGUAUAAACUUUAUAAAUCCAAGCAUAGAUUUAAUCGAACAUUAAUCCUAACAAUCAAUAAUGCAUGACAAAAUUGAUGAAAAGAUUUUAUUAACAUCCAAUUAUUUAUGUGAAAUAAAAACCAUAAUCAUCAAAGAACAUAUAUUGGGAAUUAAUUAAAUAAAAAGAUAAUUAUUUCAUUGAAUAUGGUUUCAUCCUUAACCUCAGUAUAAGAAAAUUAGUUAGACAUACUUGAAUUGAGAGCAACACAAUAAAUAAAUUCAGCCAUGGGGAAGCCGAAUUGCUGCAGAUUUUCUUCUCUAUCUUGAAUCCUUGCGUUUGCACUCCCUUCUGGCGGCUCUCCUCUUGCAAAAGCCAAAGUUCGGCUUUUAUAUUGUAACACCCUCCAAAAUCCUCAAAUCAAAAGGAUUUAAAACAAGCCAAGCACAACCGACUUUGAGCCCAUGCACGUGGAGCCCACUUGGAAUUUUCAUUCUUUUUGUAAUGCCAUGCAAUUGCUUCUCACGUGCAGGCCACUUUAGCUUUAAAUUUCUUCUUUGUUUGCACCAGCAUGGAAAAUUCAAUUUAUUGGCUUCUUUUUUGGAUUGAAUUUCAUAUACAUUUGCUUAACUGCUUUUACAAAUUGACUUGAUCUUCAAUGUUGUUCAGUUAUUAUUCUUUAUGCACUUUUUAUCCAUAAUCUCCAAUUAAUUCCCUAUUCAAUAAAAUAAUUCAACUAAUUAAAAAUAACAAAUAAAUAUAACUAGUAAUUAUUUAAUUAAGGGUAAAAUAUGUAUAUAUUAUAUGCUCAUCAAAUACCCCCAAACUUAGAUUUUGCUAGUCCUCGAGCAAAACUAAAACUUAAAACAAAAAUAAAAAUAACAACACAAAAAGUAAAUCCUAAUUAAACCACUUUCGCAGGUAAUCGCGAUUGCAUUUAGCGUAUGCAACAAGCCUGUAAACCCCUAGGCGGCCCUAGUGGACAAGUUAUAAUCUCGUAAGGGCUUCAGUGAUGAUACCCACAAACAUCAUUAAAAAAAAACAUAAAUAAAUAAAUAAAUAGAACAAAAAAAAUUAAAUAAAACAUGAAAAUAGCCUCAAAGAUUGCAUAAAUUAUAUAACUCAAAGAAAAUUUCAAAUAUUGGCAAAGUUCUAACUUUAAUUCAAUAAUCAAUCCCAUCUCUCUUUCGAUUCUUGUAGUGUGUGUGUGAAAUCAAUUCAAUCAAAUCCAUUCCCAAAAUCCUCAAUAUCAACAGCAUUCGCCUCAAACAAAGAAUAGAGUAGUUCAAACUAAUCUUAUCAUCUUGAUCUCUAAUUUUUUUUUCUCUCACAGGCUUUUAUGUGCAUUUUCUUUUGAUUUUUUUUUCAGCACAUGCACUUGAUUUGGUUUUUCUUUUUUCUCUUUUUUUUUUCUUCUUUUUUUUUUUAACCAUAGUCAGGAGCUUUCACUCUACCCCUUAAGGUAGCCUUCUUCUCAUGGUAGAUUAUCCUCUACAUACUUGUGGUACAUAGGCCCAAAUUACUCAAGGAUAGCUUCACUCUUAAGGGUUAUAGGUAGCUAUUUCUGACUUUGGCGCCCGUGUAUACUAUUUUGUAUUGUGGAGAUAAGAAUCAAGACAAACAGUCAUUUACUCUAUCUAAAAUUCUCAACUCAGGCUGCGUCAAUCUCAAAUUUCAAGUCAAAAUCAUGAAAGAACUGAUAUUAGUGCUCAUGGUUUAAAGAAUCUCAAUCAAGAGGAACUAACACAAGAAUCAAGUAUAAACUAAGACAAUAUUCAACCCUUUCUAAAAGCCAUAUUCAUUGUCAAUCAAAUUCUUAUCAUUGGCUUUUCACAUAAAAACAAGGGUAAAGGACACAGACACCCCUAACGUUUGAAUAAGGGACAUAAAACUCCCUAAUGUUUCAAAAAAGACACUCAGACCCCAAUUGACUAACGGAAAUCGUUCCGUUAAAUCAUUAAAAGGUUAAAAUCGUAAUUACAAAUUAAAAACAAGUGAAUUGACUAAAAACCCACACACGCAUCACACACACAAACAAACCCCACGCACACACACACUGAUGCUGAUUUCAGACAAAUCUUUUAACACACUCACGGUUUGCCUCGCCGAACGCUGCUGGGGCUGCCGGAAGUUGCUGCUCGCGCUACCGGAAGCUGCUGGAACUGCUCGUGUGUGGAUCGAGACCGAGUCUAGUUGCCGGAUCUGCUGUCGAUCGACGUUUGGCUGUUGCUUGUACUGUUGGAACUGCUGAAAUCUUGAGUUUGGCUAUUGGAACUGCUCGCGUUUGGCUGCUGGAAUUGCUCGCGUUUGGCUGCUGCUUGUGCUCGCGUUUGGCUGCUGCUUGUGCUCGCGUUUAGUUGCUAGUUGUGCUCGCUUUUGGCUGCUGGUUGUGCUCGCGUUUGGCUGCUGGUUGUGCUCGUGUUUGGCUGCUGGUUGUGCUCGUGUUUGGCUGCUGGUUGUGCUCGUGUUUGGCUGCUGCUUGUGCUCGCGUUUGGUUGCUGAUUGUGUUUGUGGGAUAAAUUGGACAAUGAACAAUUAGUUUUUAAUAUGCUAUAAGGGUAUAAUGGUAAUUGCACUUUAAAAUUAUAAUUUCUGUUAAAACAAACGGUUUUCGUUAGUCAAUUGGGGUCUGAGUGUCUUUUUUGAAACAUUAAGGGGUUUUAUGUCCCUUAUUCAAACAUUAGGGGUCUCUGUGUCAUUUUCCCUAAAAACAAAAAACACAAAUUUUUUUUUUUACAUUUUUGAAAUUUAAAAAAAAAAAUUUUUGGUUUUUUUUUAACAAACAAAGCACACAUUAUUCCCACCCCCAAACUUAUUCAGAACAUUGUCCUCAAUGUUUCACAAACAAAAGAUAUAUAUGCAAACAAAUGAAAGAAAAAAAAUAUAUAGUAAAUAUAAAAUAAAAUAAAAAAACAUAAAUAAUAAAAAAAAAGUUGGAGAGAACACACCUAGAUGGGCUAGGAAAGCUUAAAAAAAAUGACAACUAAAAAGAAAACGUUAGAAGAAAUAUAAAUAAUGAAAUAAAAAAAAUCCUACUAACUAACAAAUUAAUGUAAACAACAAAUCAACCAAGACCAAUAAGAAUUUGGUGAAAAGCAAAGAAAUUAUAUAGAAAAUGCCAGAAAACAUAAUUGACUAAGCACUGGAGCAUUUUAUCUAUAAAAGGAUGAUGGUAACGAAACUCCUCAAUAUCGCACUGCCUUGAUCUCUUCUGUUCCAUGCUUUCCUGAGAGUUAUCUGAAGUAGUAUAAAAAUCUAAUAAUUUAAGUACUUUAGAUCUUACCACCUUUUUCAUGUUAGAAUGUGACCUAUGUUGCACUUUUUUAGGAAGUAACUCCAACUUGAAUGGUUCAAUUUUCUCUUCAGGAGGAAGUGGCUCAAUCUUUUCUUUCCACUUAAUUAGAUCUAUGAUAAGAGCCGAAUCAAGUAAAGCAUUAACUUCUUCAAUACCACUAUCAACAUCAACAGAGAAAUCAGAGUCAGUUGUGCAUGGUAUUAAUGGAUUGUCACAGUGGUUAGAAAUAAGUGAGUCAUCAAUUGAUGCUUCUAUCAUAUCUACUUCAACGACUUCAUCAUCUUCUUGUGCCUGCUUGGGAACAUUAAAAAUGUUUAAUUCCAUGGUCAUGUUACCAAAAGACAAUUGCAUGUUUCCAGUUCUGCAACUAAUAUGAGCAUCAGCUGUAGCUAAGAAAGGACGACCUAGAAUAACUGGGGUGUGUUUCUUCGGAUCCAGUACAUGUUGAGUAUCAAUAACAAUAAAAUCAAUAGGAUAAUAAAAUUUAUCAAUCUGUAUCAACACAUCCUCUAUAAUACCACGAGGUAUUUUCAUUGACCUGUUCGCAAGUGGCAAAAUAAUAGAAGCUGGCUUUAACUCACCUAAUCCAAGUUGCAUGUAAACAGAAUAAGGCAAGAGAUUAACAAUAGCACCCAAAUCCAAUAAUGCUUUAUCAAAACAUUGGUUCCCUAUAACAUAUGAGAUAGUAGGAGAACCAGGAUCCUUAAAUUUUGGUGGCAUUUUACAUUGAAGUAAAUUGCUAGUUUGUUCAGUUAAAAAUGCCUUUUUAGUGACAUGUAAAUUUCUCUUUUUAGUGCAUAAAUCUUUCAAAAACUUGGCAUAGGAAGGAACUUGCUUAAUAGCAUCGAGUAAAGGGAUGUUUAUACUUACCUGUUUGAAGAUUUCCAUAAUCUCACCUGUUGAAGUCCCUUUCUUUACCUUUGUUAACCUUUGAGGAAAAGGAGCCUUAGGAAUAUAAGCUGGUGGGGCCACUCUCUUUUGGAUCAUUUGGUGAUGAGUCUUGUGAUGGAACUGGAUCUGAAGAAGUAGGCGCAGAUGUCUUCCUUGUUUGAACCUCUACUUUGUUGUCAAAUAAUUUUCCUCUUCUCAAGGUCAUAACAGAUUUUGCUUCUUCAUGUUGAUGGCUUGAACUCGAUCCAACUUCGUGCACUCCUUUGGGAUUAGGAAUUGGUUGACUUGGAAAUUUUCCUUUCUCUCUCUCAGCUACAGUAGUUGCUAAUUGACCCAAUUGAUGUUCAAGCUUUAGAAUAGCUUGAGUGUUGAACUGAAAAGCUUGUUGGGUUCACUGAAUGAAACUUUGAAGUGUAUCCUCUAAAUAAGGCUUUCGUUGUUGGGGUGCAACAAAUUGAGACAUAGGUUGUUGGGUAGGAGGAUGUACUUGGUUAGGAGGGACAAAUUGUUGAUUGGGCAUGUUCAACUGUUGUCCUCCUUGGUUUGACAAAGGUUGAUUUUGUUUCCAAGAAAAAUUAGGGUGAUUCCUCCAAUUAGGAUUAUAUGUGGGUGAAUAUGGAUUAUUGGGGGUUUUCUCAUAUGAUUGUAAGGCAUGUACCUGCUCAGAAUAAGCCUCUUGAUAGGCUGGUAAUGAUGGACAAUUCUGUGCUGUAUGAGACAAGUUAGAACAAAGAGCACAAACCUCAUUAGCUACACUAGGAUGAUGAUUCAUUGAUUGGUUCAGAGCUAAGGCAUCUACUUUCCUAGAAAGUGUAGCUAGAGUGGAUUUCACAUCAAAAUCAUCCUUAACUUCAUAUAACCCCUUUCUAGAAACUUGAGAUGAUUUUUCUCUUUGAUUUGAAAAAUCCCACUGUUGAGAAUUCUCAGAAAGUGAAUUAAAGAAAUCCCAUACAGCCUUCAUGUAAGUUCAAAAAUCUCCUACCAUUCAUAGACUCUACCAUAUGACGAUUCGACAUGGUUAAACCGUUAUAAAAGCAUUGUAUAAGUCUCCAUUUUUCAAAACCAUGGUGGGGACACUUGAGGAGUAAAUCAUUGAAUCUUUCCCAACACUCAUAAAAUUGCUCACCCUCUCUUUGAUAAAAAUCACUUAUCUCUCUCCUAAGGGCAUUUGUUUUAGACAUAGGGAAAAACUUGGUGAGAAACUUAUUACUCAAUUCAUCCCAUGUACUAAUAGAUCCAGCAGGAAGUGAAUUCAACCAAGCUUUUGCUUUGUCUUUUAAUGAGAAAGGGAACAUACGAAGCUUAAUUGACUCAUCAUUAAAAUUUUGAAAACGGAAUGUAGAGCAUAUGUCAAGAAAUUCCUUAAUGUGCAAAUAUGGAUCCUCUCUCUCUAACCCAUGGAAAGAUGGCAAAAGUUGAAUGACAGAGGACUUAAGUUCAAAGUGUGUUGCUGUAGUUUGUGGCAACACAAUACAAGAUGGUUGGUUGGCUACAAGUGGUGAAAAGUAUUCUCUAAGGGUUUUCUCUGCUUGCACUGGUGGAAGUAUUGGCAAUAGUCUAUUUGGGUCAUCCAUCACUUCUAAAGAACUAGUUUGACUACUAUCAAUUUUCGACUCUCUUUUAACCAAACGAUUUGUUAAAUCACGUUCCCAAACACUCAUAAACUAACUAGACAAGGAAAGAAAGAAAAAAAAAAUAAAACAAAUCAACAAUAAUAAUAAAAAAAAGAAAUCAAACAACCAAACAAUGAAUUUAAAGACAAAUAAAUUUUUUUUUGUGUUUUUUUUAAUUAAAAAAAUAUAAAAGACAAUCUAAAUUAUAACUAGUGGAAGAAUCAAAUCAACCUAUAUUAAAUUGACUUUCUAGCACAAUCCCCGGCAACGAUGCCAAAAACUUGUUGUGAAAAUUUUAAUAUACUCGCAAGCACACGAAUCUAGAAAUAGAGUAGUGGUAACGAGGUCGAUCCCACAGGGAUUGUUAUAAAUUGAGAAGUCUAAUUUAAAUCUAAAAUUAAUAUUAAUUCUAACCUAGUUGAGCAAAUUGAGUUUUAAGAGAAAUUAAACUAAUUAAACUAAGAAAACAAUUAAAGCAAAUGAGAAAUCAAUAAGACAAAUUACCAAGGUUUCAGAAUCCACCACUAUUCAACUAGUAAUUAUCUAAUUAUUAAUUAGUUCCCAAUUUUAGAGUGACAACUCGAAAUCAAUCUAUGUCAUCUCAUGGAUAUAACAAUUAAGCCCAAGUAAUUAAAUCUAAUGUAGGUUCUUUUUCUGCUUGAUAAUAUGACAUCUAAGAAUUUCAUGUAAACAGAUUGAAUAACAAAGAGUCAAAGUUUCCUAAGCACUCUAUGUAAACAAUUUAAUGAAAGACAUAGAAUCAAAGAUAAUCAUGUAUAAACUUUAUAAAUCUAAGCAUAGAUUUAAUCGAAUAUUAAUCCUAACAAUCAAUAAUGCAUGACAAAAUUGAUGAAAAGAUUUUAUUAACAUCCAAUUAUUUAUGUGAAAUAAAAAUCAUAAUCAUCAAAGAACAUAUAUAGGGAAUUAAUUAAAUAAAAAGAUAAUUAUUUCAUUGAAUAUGGUUUCAUCCUUAACCUCAGUAUAAGAAAAUUAGUUAGACAUACUUGAAUUGAGAGCAACACAAUAAAUAAAUUCAGCCAUGGGGAAGCCGAAUUGCUGCAGAUUUUCUUCUCUAUCUUGAAUCCUUGUGUUUGCACUCCCUUCUGGCGGCUCUCCUCUGGCAAAAGCCAAAGUUCGGCUUUUAUAUUGUAACACCCUCCAAAAUCCUCAAAUCAAAAGGAUUUAAAACAAGCCAAGCACAACCGACUUUGAGCCCAUGCACGUGGAGCCCACUUGAAAUUUUCAUUCUUUUUGUAAUGCCAUGCAAUUGCUUCUCACGUGCAGGCCACUUUAGCUUUAAAUUUCUUCUUUGUUUGCACCAGCAUGGAAAAUUCAAUUUAUUGGCUUCUUUUUUGGAUUGAAUUUCAUAUACAUUUGCUUAACUGCUUCUACAAAUUGACUUGAUCUUCAAUGUUGUUUAGUUAUUAUUCUUUAUGAACUUUUUAUCCAUAAUCUCCAAUUAAUUCCCUAUUCAAUAAAACAAUUCAACUAAUUAAAAAUAACAAAUAAAUAUAACUAGUAAUUAUUUAAUUAAGGGUAAAAUAUGUAUAUAUUAUAUGCUCAUCACUCGAGUUCAUGGAUUCUUGCUGAUUCAAGAGAUUGAAAAACUGCUCUCCCACAUAUAAAUUUAAAUAUUUGCGUCGAGGUCUAGUUGGUAACCAACAAAUUGACUCGACUAGAUUUCAACAUCAACAAUAUGUAUUAAUUAAGAAUUUGAAAUGUUGAAAAUUCAAAAAAUUGGCUUCCAUAUAUAAAUUUAAAUAUUCACAUUGAGGUCUGAUUGCUAGCCAACAAAUCAACUCGACUAAAUUUUAGCGUCAACAAUAUAUAUUAAUUUGAGCUUAAAUCAACUAUUAUUAAUUUCCUACUUUUCCAAUUCUCAGGUAAACUGGAAACGAAGCAAUCUUUUAACCCUGGCCAUCUACAUUCCAAGCAACCUUAAACUUCUCCAUCAUAUUGUCUGUCAAAAGCUUAACACCCCUAUGUUGUGCGCGGAAUGCGGAAUCAAGCGUACAAAAUAAUUAUAGAAAAAUAAAGGACACAAGAAUUACGUGGUUCGGUAAUUAAACCUACAUCCGUGGAGGCAAGAAAGAAUAAUUUUUUAUUUAACAAUUAAUAGAGUACAAUAUUUGAGUAACGAAUCUCACUUCCCAGAAACCCAAAUAUACCCAGUACUCUCACGCUCUGCAUGAAAGAUAAAUUCCCCAGACACACUUCUCUCACUUCUCUCAAAAGCUUAGAAACUUAUAAGCUUAACAAUUUUGGGGUCCAAAAGAAUGGAAGAACUGCCAUCUAUUUAUAGGGAAAAUAAUGGCACUAUUGCACCAACCCCUUUACUAUUCCACCGAACCUAAGCCAAUAGUCAAUGGUGUCCAUUUGGCAAAUUUGACAAAUUUGCCAACUUUCCAUUUUUUCUUCAAAUGUUUGGUAGCCAUUUGAAAUUUUGCAUGCAUUUUUGAAUUUGAAUGUCACGUGCAUGACUUUUCAACACCCUGUUUUUAGCCGUCUGAUAACUUGAACUUGACCUUACGAGCAUGAAGAAAUCAUUUAAAUCCAUCAACUUCUUAUUAAUUUUAUUUCUCACAUAUUUUGGACUGGUAUAAAUCAUUCUAAUUGUUUUCUAUAUUUUAUUGAAUUAAUACGUGACUAAUGUCAAAUAUUAAGGAGCUAUUUUGACAAACUCAUUUAUUAAGUGAUCAAAUAUUAUGUUAAUGAGUCUGAUUUUGACAUACCCUAUACAGUAGUAUAUUGUGGACAAAUAUAAUCUUUAAUUGUGUUAUAUUAGCUCAUAAUGGGAUGGGUAAAUUUGUACUAACACAUGAGGCAGUCCUUACACUCAAAUAUUAUGUUAAUGAGUCUGAAUUUGUACUAACAUUGUUAUGCAUCUAGAUAUAAAAAAUUGAUGUGAAUUCUGGUGAUCCCUCAAACAAGGGUAAACAAAUACUGAUCAAGCAAGCAUGGUAUUUUUCCACGAGUAACAAGAUCAUAAAUAUUGUUUAUGUCCUCGAAAACUGCUUCUUUUAUGAGAUGGCAUGCUAAAUCAUGCAUUGAUGAUUGCGUACUAAGGCAUCCUACUGAUAAUCCUACAUUGAAAUCAUUUGAUCAAACAGAUAUUGAUUUCGUUCUAGAUAUUCGUAAUGUUAGGCUUGGAUUAGAAAGUAAUAGUUUGAAUCAGUUUAUAACGAUGUCUGUAUCAAAUUGUAAAUGGCCUGUAGUUUUAAUUCCACACAUUUUGCCACCUUGGAUGUGCACAAAACAACCAUUCAUAAUAUUUAUAUGUGCUUAUUGAUAGACCUAAAGUGCCGGUAACAAGAUUGAUGUUUAUUUGCAACCAUUGAUUAAGAAGUUGAAAGAAUUAUGGGCUGAAAGGGGUGCCUAGCUAUGAUGUUUCGCGCAAUCAAAUGUUAAAAUUACAUGUAGCACUGUUAUGGAUUAUUAGUGAUUUUUCAGAAAAUAUUUUUACUUGGGCCUCUAUUAAUUUUUUUCCAAGAUGUCAUCAGUUUCAGAAAGACAAAGUAUUUUUUUUUUUGAUAAAAUAAAGAAGUGGGGAUAAGACCUUCCCAGUUAUCUAGAAUUGAACUGUAAAUUUUAGUUGUAUGAUAUACUUAAUGCUCGGUGUGUCCAUACUGAAGAAUUUAGCAUUUGGGGUCUUAAAUGCUAUGGCAGUCAUGUAUUGAUGCAAAUAUUACUUCCUGCGGCUAACGUAGAGCAUUACCUACAAAUAUUGUUGAAACUUUGAUUGAAUUAAGCAAUUAUUUUUGGUAACUAUGCUCAAAGUGAACACAUCUGAAGACUUACUCAAAAUACAAGAGAGAAUUUCCAUUUCCUUUUGUCAUCUUGAGAAGAUUUUUCCAAUGUUCUUUCUAGAUAUGAUAGAGCAUUUACCUAUUUAUCUAGCUAAAGAGGCAUUAAUUGCUGGUCCUGUUAAAUGCCAAUGGCUGUUUUUCAUUGAAGGGUACUGCAACAAUGUUUUUACUCGUAUUUUUUUACUAUGUUUAUGUCUUACAUUUUUUUGUUAUAUUCUUCAUAUCUUUUGGUUAUAAGGAGCUACUGACCUCGAAAGUAUGUGCAAAAUCAAGCACUUAUUGAGGCUUCAAUUGCUUAAGGGUACCUUAUGGAGGAAAAUAUGAAUUUUUGUUAAAGUUACAUUGACAAGGUAGAAACCAAAAGUAACCGACCAUUUUGUAAUGAUGUUGGUGGUAACAAAUUUGGGUGUCCUGGCAGUAAAGGGGUUAAAUUAUGUCUUAUAAUGUUUCAUGGGUUCAGGUACACAAAUAUGUGCUAUUGAACACAGGUACUGUAACCAUUUUUCACCGAGUAUGUAGUGUAUAUUUUUUGUUCAAAUAUUUUUAUCUCUAGUUUUUAAUUAUCAUUUAUCCAGUGACUUACUAAGUAAUGAUUGAAUUGACAUAGGGCAACAUCUAGCAAUUCUCAAGCGAGAGAUAUUGCGUGGUGCAAAACAUCACAUUAAAAAAGUUCACAAUGAAGUAUUUCAUACAUAGUUUUCGAAUCUUGUAAGUCUCUCAAACAUUGCGAUUGUGAAUUUUUGUUUCAAGUAAUAGCAAUUUUUUUUAUUUCUAAUAUGUAUUUAUAGGUUAAAACUUUGCAACGAGCGUCAAUUGUAGAAUUCUUCGAAGAAAUUUUAAAUCUAGGCAACGGUCCAAAGAAGUUUGCACAAAGAUCCAAAGGCUACACUGUUAAUAGCUGUCGAUUCUGCACAAAAGAUAAUGAUAAGAAUAAAACAACAUAAAAUUUUGGUGUUGUAUUAAAGGCUGACACAAUGAGCUAUAUCGAUGCAAGGGAUAAAAAUCCUCACUUGGGCAAAGUUACAUUUCAUGGGAAAUUCAUUAUAAUAAUGAUAUGAAGUUCGUUCUUUUCAUGCGUGAUUUGGUUGAUGAUCGAUUCAAAAAGAUACUUGAUGAGUUUAAUUUUACAAUGGAAUUUCAACCAUUUGUUAUAUGAAAAUAAUUUUGGGAUGAACAUUUCACUCUAGCGGGGCAAGUAGAACAAGUUUGUUAUGUCCAAGACCCUAUAGAUUUAGAUUGGCAUGUUGUUAUGAGUUUAAUUUUACAAUGGUGAGUUUCAACCAUUAAUUCAUAUAAAAAUAAUCAACUUGGGGGAUGAACCUUUCAUUCUGGGGGCAAGUAGGACAAGUUUGUUAUGUCCAAGACCCUGUAGAUUUAGAUUGGCAUGUUGUUAUGAAAAUGACAGUUAGGGAAUUGUAUGACAAGUAUUCUUAUAGCCCAUUGAUAAUGCGUCAAGUUGAGUUAUAUCUCAAUAACAAUUGGAUGAGAGUGUAUAUGUGUGAUGAAGAUAUUGCUUGGGUUAAGAAGGGAGUUGAUGUGACAACUGUGGAAAUUAAUUCUGUGAAUGAUGAUGAUGAUCUUAGCAUGAAAGAUAUUGAUUAGAUUCAUUAUUUGGACAUCAAUAUUAACAUAUAAUUUGUAAUAAUGUAUGCAUUUUGAGGGGCAAAGUUUAUUAUGUUCCCGCCAUAUAGGCGUCUUUACUUUUUAUCACAUCAAUAAAUCAUGUUACUGCUUUUCAGUAGUAAUUAAUUUUCUCUGAUAUUUAUUGUUAUUGUUGUCGUAUUGACAAGUUUAUUAUACAUUACAAGUUCAUUAUGUAUUUUAGUGGUUUAUUGAAGUUAUCAUGGGUGCCGAAAAGAAAUAGAGGUUUAUCCAUGGAUAGCUUACUUCAGCAGCAAGCAGAAUAACAAAAACAGUUAUGCUCCUCUUCUCGUUCGCAUUCACAUGCACCACAAGAUGAUGGUAUAUAUUGUCAUGUAUUCUAACAUACAAUCCUUUUUUUUACCCUUAUAUUAAUGCAUCUUGUGCUACUUUUUUGUUUUUUAUGUUUUUGGAUAAUGUUUCUAUUAUUCCUAUUUCUUCAUUGUUUUUUUACUAUUUUUAGCCUUUUUUUUCUUGUUUCUGGGGUAAUUUAGAUAUUAUAUUUUGGUUAAUUUUGUAGUUUGGAGUGAGUCAUCAUUAAUUAGGCAACUCUUGUCCUGCCCUUGGUCUAGAUAUAUUUGGAAGGAAGUAAAGUUAUGUAAUGCGUACACUUCAUUGUUCAAGUCACUGUUGCAAAAAUAUUGUUUUUUUUUUUUAACUAUCACUAACCUGAUUUGGCUUUCAUGUGUUGCAACAAUAACUAAUUACUCCUUUCUUAGUCUAACCUUUUUAUUUAUUUAUUUUUUUCAAUGUUUUAAUGGUUAAAGUUAUAAGACAAUAACUUAUUUUAUAUUGAAUUAUAGGAGAACAUUGAUGCUCCAGAAGCCUAUAACUUCAUUGUUUAAGGCACAUUAGUAAACUAUGGAAGGCUUGGAAGUCUAGAGUGAAGACUGACUAUUAUACUGCUUCGACAAAUGAAGAGUUUCUUUCAUUUAUUCUUGAUAGGGUUAUUGAAGAGCAGUGGAGGAGACAUGUAGCAUAUUAGGAUAAUGAGGAAGUUAAGGUAUAUGGUUAAUAACAAUAAAAUGAUAAUACUAGUUUAUUGGGAUAGUAAUUUAAGAAUGUACUUCAGUAGUAAUUACAUAUAUAGUAUUUACUGGCACGUGCUGAACAGAAUAAGAUUAACCAUUCACAAUUAUCUUCCCUUCUUAGAACAGUUCGAACUUCGUUUGCCCCAAAAAAGAAAAGAAGAAGAAAUAAAAAAAGUACCCAUUUUCUUAAUAUAAUGCUAGAUUGUGUUCUCCUUUUUCAAUUUAUCUUUAAGCAACAACUUACUUAAUAUAAUGCCAAAUUGAGGUUGUUGAUAACUUGUAGGAAUCUGCACUUAUACUUAUUUUAUAAUCCAGAUUUAAAUUCAUGUGUAUGAUGGAGCUGAAUCGUUUUUGUUUCUUUAGGAUGGUAAAUGAGACAUUGUUUUCACUAAAAUUAUUGUCAAGAAUUUCUUGCCCUAACUAUUUCUAUCUUAUUGCAUAUUUAGGUAAUUUUUUUAAAAAAAAAAGAAAGAAAAAAGCAACAACUGACAUAUGAAUCUUAUGUCUAUUAUGAAGAGAUAUAAGCUUAUUUGUUACUCUUAUGUCUAAAAUUUUUAGAUGAAGAAAAAUUGGAAAAAGACAGAUCGGAUAAGUGUGUUUGUAGAGACUCGAACAAGAUCUUAUGGUAGCAUAAGUGAUGUGGAGAGUGAACAAAUAAUUGCAAGUUUCUUUUUUUUUAAGUAUUAUAAUUCCUUACUUUUGUAAAUGCUAUAAUUAAUAUUAUCUGUUAGACCUUGAUCAAAAUUAAUCAAUCAAGACUCCCCAAGAUUAGCUAAACACUAUCAUAUUUGCUAAAGAAAUACCAAGUAGUCACAAAAGAAACAGAAGCAAAACUAAAAACACCAAUCAACGAAAGACAUAAUUAAAGUGGUUCGGCCUGAAGAUGGCCUACAUCCACUGAAGAAUAGAGUAGCAAUCUUUAUUCAAUCACUAGGAACAAGAUACAAGUUUAAAGACAAAGUUACAAGCUUCACACACACUGAUCUCUUUUCUCUUAAGGCUAUAUAUACACGCUUAAGAGACCCCAGAAAGUUCCCCCACCAAUCAGCUAACUUCUAUAACCAAAACCCAGAAUUUUCCCGCCCUUGUAACAGAAUAUAACAGCCCCUGAGCCACGUGUUUGUUUCACGUUUAAUGAAGGCUCCAAAACGGCAACUCAGCAGGUCAUGUUGAUAAGUGAAAACAUGUGACGAUCACGUGCUUUACUUAUCUAUAAAUGGAUGACCAAGUAACAUUGUCAUAUGGCUUUGAAUAACCACAACCUACAUGUCAUAUGCUAUUACAACCAUGAGCUGACAUGUCAUAUGACUCUCUGGAAAUCAGUUUCAGAGCUCACACUUUAACAUUCUCCACCUUGAGCUUGAAAUCCUCAUGAUCCUACUACUUUUUCUUUCUCUUCAACUACCUAUCACUUAUUUUUGACAUAUUCCUGCUAAUUCUAAGCAAAGCUUGAACUUAGUAGUUGUAACUGGUUUAGUCAGCAUAUUUGCAACAUUCUUGUCUUUAUGAAUCUUCUGUAGCUUUACUGUUACUUUUAACACUUCCAGCCUUAUGAAAUGCAGCUUGAUAUCGAUGUGCUUGGUCCUUUCAUAGUGUGCUUGAUUUUUGCUCAAACAUAUAGCACUUUGGCUGUCACAAUUUAUCAUCAUUGACCUCUGAUCAACACCAAGCUCUUUAAGCAUUCCUUUCAGCUAGAUGGAUUCUUUAACUGCUUUUGCAGCAGCUAUGUACUUAGUUUCUAUUGUUGAAAGUGCCACAACACUUUGCAGUUGAGCCUUCCCAUUGACAGUACAAUUGUUGAAUGUGAAAAGGUAUCCAAUAAGUGGCCUUCAACAAUCCCCAGCAUAAUAAGAAUCCACAUAGCCAACAAUCUGACUACUAUCUUGUCUUUGUCCUCCAUACAUCAACCCAUAUAUUGCUGUCUCAUUUAGGUACCUGAGAAUCCAUUUUACAGCUCUCCAGUGUUCCUUACCAGGGUUUGCCAUAUACCUGCUUACAACACUCACAACAUAUGAUAAAUCAGGCCUAGUUAAGACCAUAGCAUACAUCAAGCAGCCUACAGCACUUGUAUAAGGUACAUUCAUCUUCUCAGACAUUUCAGCUUUGCUUUUGGACACAACUGAUCAGAUAGUCUGAAAUGAGGUGCUAAGGGUGUUUGAACUAGCUUUGAGUUUGCCAUUCUAAACUUAGCAAGUACCCUUCGGAUGUAUUCUUCCUGAAUAAGAAACAGAGUUCCAAUAUUUCUGUUCCUGUGUAACUGUAUUCCCAGAAUUUUCUUUGCUGGACUAAGAUCCUUCAUGUCAAACUCUCCUUUAAGCUUCUAUUUCAGGUCUUCAAUUAAACUUAUGUUCACACUGGCAAUAAGCAUAUCAUCUACAUACAAUACAAAGUAAACCAUCACCCCUGAAUCCUCUCUGAAGUAAACACAAUAAUCCAAGUUACACCUUUGAAAUUUCUGCUUUUAACAUUAAGCUGUCAAAUCUGAGGUACCAUUGCCUUGGGGGACUGUUUAAGUCCAUACAUAGACUUUUUCAAAUGACAAACCCAGUCAACCUUUGAUUCAUCUAUGAAGCCUUCAGGCUGUGCCAUUACAAUAUGCUCUUGUAAUUCCCCAUAUAAGAAUGUUGUUUUUACAUCCAUUUGUUCUAAGUGCAUGUUGUUUACUACCACCAGUGACAAGAUGAUUCUUAUAGAGGCAUACCUCACUACAGGUGAAAAUACCUCAGUAAAGUCAAUGCCCUUCUUUUGAGUGAAUCCUUUUGCAACAAGUCUGGCUUUGAAUCUCACUGGUUCCACUCUUGAGAUGCCCUGCUUGAGUUUGAACACCCAUUUGCAGCCUAUCACUUUUUGCUUAUCUGGUUUUCUCACAAGUACCCAGGUGUCAUUCUUAUUCAAAGAAUCCAUUUCUUCCUUCAUGGCUUCCAACCACUGGUCUUCAUUCUUCCCUGAAACAGCUUCCUUAUAGGAUUUAGGUUCAUCAUAGUCCAGUUCAUGAGCUGCUGUUAGUGCAUAUGUAAUCCGAUCUGCAUAUGCAUACUUCUUUGGUGCCCUUAUAACUCUCAUUUCACUAUCCUUGGCCAGCUGAUAAUCCUGCAAUGUUGUUUGACUUUCUGAAGUUUCAUCAGAAUUAUCUACAUCUCUUCGCUCAUCUUCUGAUAUCUCAUAUGAAGUUGUAUCCCUAGAUUUUCCAGUAAGCUCCACCUUAAUAUGAUCUUUCAGUAAAUUAGUGUCCUUGUUUGAGUCUUCAAGCUUCUCUGUAUAGCUUUUAAGCAUUUCUUGUUCAUUGAAGACCACAUCUCUACUAACCAUACACCUGGGUGGCUUUAGAUCAGUACACCAAAGCUUAUAGCCCUUCACACCUUCUGGAUAUCCAAGAAAAACACAUUUUAGAGCCCUAGGCUCAAGCUUUCCUUACUUCACAUGUGCAAAUGCUGGGCAGCCAAAUAUCUUCAAAUCAGAAUAAUUUACAGCUUUGCCUGACCACAUUUCUAUAGAUGUUUUAAAGUCCAUGGCACUGGAUGGACUUUUGUUGACUAAGUAACAAGCUGUCAUCAGAGUUUCAGCCCAUAAAGAAUGAGGAAGUUUUGAGUGAAUUAGUAGACACCUUACUUUGUUCAUGAAAGUUCUAUUCAUCCUCUCAGUAAUUCCAUUUUGCUAUGGAGUAUGCCUUACUGUCUUGUGUCUUACAACUUCAUUCUGAGCACAGAAAUCAUCAAACUAUUGAUUGCAAAAUUCUAAUCCAUUAUCAGUCCUUAGCCUUUUGACUUUUCUACCUGUUUGUGUUUCUACCAGUGCUUUCCACUACUUAAACUUCUUAAAGACUUCAUUUUUACCCUUCAAGAGAUACACCCAAACCAUUCUAGAAUAGUCAUUAAUCAAGGAUAUGAAGUAUUUAACUCCACUUAAAGAAGUUGUCUGUGCUGGUCCGCACAGAUCAGAAUGGAUAUAAUCUAAGGUCCCUUUGGUCUUAUGCAUUGUAGUUUUGAAGCUAGUUCUAGAGGAUUUACCUAGGACACAUACUUCACAGAACUCAACAGGACCUAACUUAUCAUCCCCUAAGACUCCUUGUCUUUCUAAGAUCUUCAUCCCCUUCUCACUCAUAUGCCCCAAUUUCAUGUGCCACAUUAGUAUUUUGUUUAGAUUCUGACUUGUUGAGACACUAACAUCCCCUGUAAUAGCUGUCCCUUGCAGUACAUACAAGCUUAUUUUUUGCUCCCUUUAUUAUCACAAUAGACCAUCUAAUUAUCUUCAUAACACCAAAUUCCAUUUUAAUGAUACAACCCAUUUUAUCAAGAAUUCCUAGGGAUAUUAAGUUUCUUUUUAGCUCAGGAAUAUGCCUAACUUCACUUAAUUCCCUAAUCACCCUAUCAAACAUUUUAAGCCUAAUGGUUCCAAGACCAACUACUUUGCAAAGUGAGUUGUUCCCCAUCAUGACUUCCCCACCAUUAAAAAGUCUAUAACUGGAAAAAAGAUUUUUAUCAGGGCACAUGUGAUAAGUGCAUCCAGAAUCUAACACCCACUUACCAUUGGUUUGAGUUCCAGUGGCCAGAAGAACACCUGCUGAGUCAUAGCCAUCAUCAUCCUUUUUUUUUCUGAUGCAACAACAACAUCUUCAUUAUUUUUGGGUCUAUCUUUUCCAUUGUUCUUUCUUUCUGGACAGUCCUUCUUGAAAUGUCCAUCUUUGUGGCACUGGAAACAUUUCAGAUUUUUAUUCUUUGACUUAGACUUGCUGCAUUUUUUGUUCUUGUUACUGAAAUCCUUCUUCUCUAGUUUACCACUUGCUGUUAAGCCUUCUCCAUCCUUUGUUUCUGACUUCUUUGUAACCUAUUUAGAACUAAGAGAAUCUUUUACAUCAGCCAUGGUUAUUAAUUGCCUUCCAUAUAACAACGUGUCUAUAAAAUGUUCAUAGGAAGGUGGGAUAGAUGAUAACAAGAUUAUAGAAUGAUCAUGUUGUAGUUAUCAAUGUGAUUUGCAGAGAGCUACCCUCUUCUAUCUGCAAUGUAUACAACCUCUUCUUGGUGCAUAGUCUCUUGGUUAGAGAUUUCUUCGUAUAUAGGUCUUCUAAUUUCUUCCAGAGGCCUGUAACAGUUGUUUGAUCCCCCACUUCCCUCAGAACUCCAUCUCCCAGACUCAAGAUUAAGGUACUAUGAGCCUUGUCCAAUGCAUCUUGCAUUUCUUCAUCACUGAACUUGCUGGGCUUCUUUUCAGAUCUUAGAUCCCUUAAUGUUUCUUCAAGCCCUUGGUGAGCUAACAAUGUUCUCAUCUUGAGCCGUCAUAAGUGGAAGUCAUUCUCUCUAGUAAAUUUCUCUACUUGAAACUUCGAAGUUGUCAUUUCUUAGAUAAAAGAUCAGAGUUGUUGGGCUCUGAUACCAAUUUGUUAGACCUUGAUCAAAGUUAAUCAAUCAAGACUCUCCAAGAUUAGCUAAAUACUCUGAUAUUUGCUAAAGAAAUACCAAGUAAUCACAAAAGAAACAGAAGUAAAACUAAAAACACCAAUCAAAGAAGAACAUAAUUAAAGUGGUUCGACUUGGAGAUGGCCUACAUCCAUUAAAGAAUAGAGCAGCAAUCUUUAUUCAGUCACCAUGAACAAGAUACAAGUUUAAGGACGAAGUUACAAGCUUCACACACGUUGAUCUCUUUUCUUUUAAGGCUAUAUAUACACGCUUAAGAGACCCUAGAAAGUUCCCCCACUAGUCAACUAACUUUUGUAACCAAAACCCAGAAUUUUCCCGCCCUUGUAAUAGAAUAUAACAGCCCCUGAGCCAUGUGUUUGUUUCACAUUUAAUGAAGGUUCCAAAAUGAAAACUGAAUAGGUCGUGUUGAUAAGUGAAAACAUGUGACGAUCACGUGCUUUACUUAUCUAUAAAUAGAUGACCAAGUAACAUUAUCAUAUGGCUUUGAAUAACCACAACCUACAUGUCAUAUGCUAGUACAACCAUGAUCUGACAUGUCGUAUGACUCUCUGGAAAUCAUUUUCAGAGCUCACACUUCAACGUUAUCAAUUUACAAGGUCAUUUCAAUGAAAAUCUGUAUAAAAUACCCAUUAAGCAACAAAAACAAUUUGUGAGAGAGCAAGUAUUCACUCAAGUGAUGAGAAUUGAUGGCCAUGGAUAUGCUUGAACUUAUGGUCAUAGUCCAUCAACUUCAUAUGUCUCGCGUCAAAAUGUGACUCACAGUUAUCAAAUGUUACAAAAUAAGUUAAUUCUUCUCCAGUCGAAUAGCAAAGAAUUAAAAUCCAAAUACAAUGACUUGCAAUCCAAAUAUAGUGAUUUGCAAUCUAAAUAUCUUGAUUUGCAAUCUAGUUAUGGUAAGUUCGAAUUAGUGACACGCAGGUCAAGUAUGAUAGACUAUGUUCAUUUUUACAGCACUAUUUCAACUAUUGUGAUGAUAGGAUGAAUCAAUUCAUAAGUGAUCAGGUAUAACUAUUUUAACUAAUAUAAUCUUUUACACCGCAAUCUACUUAAUAUGUGUUCUUUGUUAAUAGGUUCCAUACACAUCCAAUGCGCAUCAUCAUAAUAUAGCUGCUAGUUCUAAUUACGACCUCAAGUUAUAGGUAACUUUGUAUUUUUAAUAUUUCCUUUUUUAUAUUUUGUCUAAUUCUAAAUAUUUUAUUGGUUGAUUACUUGAUAUAUAUUUGCUCUCAAUUACUUGUUUGCUAAACAUUUCUUAAAUAAACGUGAUGAUAUGCAAACUUAGAGCAUGAAAUGAAUCUCAUUAUGCAUUUACUUGAUUAGAUUUUGUUGAGUUAUACUAUUGCUUUAACUUUAGAUAUCUAAACUCAAUUGAUCAAGGUUAAAGAAGAGUAUAAAAUCAUUGUACUGAACUGCAUGGAUAUCACAGUCUAAUGAUUUCUUCUUAAUCCUUCCCAAAGUCAUUCCUGUUAUUCAUGGACAUUGGUUGUAUUUAAUAUUACUUAUAUUUUUUCAACUAACUAUUUUCUACAGAUUCUUGAGAGAGAGCAGGCAUUGGGUUCUUUUCGGACUUGCUGUAAUUUUUUAAAGAGCGGAGGCAUUAGAUUCUAGAGAGAUAGAUUUCAUUGUCUAUGUAUCAAUUCCUAUUUUGUAUUGACUAAUAAACAAACUUAUGAUUAUCUGUUACUUUAUUCUUCAAUCUUUCGUCAAAAUAACCAUGCCCAAUAAUAGACAACAUCAAUUUGAAACACUUGGAGCUAGUUCUGUUUUUUAUUUUAUCCAAUUUAGGUUGAGUAUUGUUUUUUUACAUUUACAUGUUUUUCUCUUGUUGGGUAUUGUAUUUGUGUGGGUAGAAUUUAAAACAAGAUUUUUCAAAAGAAGAUGAUACAAAAUUGUGCCUGUAAGGUAUUUGACAAAAUGUAUGAGUUAUUAAUUAUUGUACUAAGGAUAAGCUAUUUGCUUAUUUUCUUUUUAUUUUAAAUUAUACAUUAAUUAAGCUUUAUUUUGCAACUGGUAUUAUAUGUAUAGCAUUUUGAAUUUGCAAUGAUUUUCUAAAAUUACUUAUAAGAGGUAGAAAUUUAAUUAACCUUUCUCACCAUGUUGGAUAAGCUUUUAAAACUGUAUCUAUUGGCUCUGAUUUUUUCAUACUUAUCAGUCUUUCAUUUGUAAUUGGAAUCAUAUGAAUAGCCUUUGUAUUGAAUUUUUAAAGAUUUUGUGAAUUUGACUGCAGUAUCUAGAAAUUUAGUUUAUCUUCCUGGUCAUCCUGAAUAUACUAUGAGAACAAUAUCUAUUGGUUGCGGUGUUUUCAUUGUUUCUUUCCAAUUUAUGUUAUAAACUUAUCAGUCUGUCAUUUGAAACUGGUAUUAUAUGAAUACAAUCUACAUUGAUUUUUUAAAGAUGUUUUUAAUAUUGGUUCUAAGAUACAGAAGUUUGAUUUACCUUUCUGACCAUGGUUAAUAUAUUUACUGAUAAAAGUAUUGAUAUUGUUAUAGUUUGCAUGUGGUUGGCAGAUAGUUUCUUCGAUUAAUUCAAUUUUAUAAAUUAUUGUUCUGCUGUUAUGCUAAAAUCUUCUACAAAAUUACGAUAAGGUGUUUCAUUGCUGAAGGUAUGAAUACAUGUUUAACAUAUAUACAUUUUCACUUUAGCUAUACAUUGGUGACUUAUGAUAAUGGGUUCAUUGACAUCAAAUGUCUUAUUUUGUCCUCUAUUGCUUUACUUGUGAGAAAGGCAUGCAUGGUUGCUUAAUUUAACAAUUCGGUGUAUGUUGAGAAUGAUGCAUGGCAACUUAAUUUCACUAUUUGUUUCAUUUAAAUAAAAUUUUACAUUAACAGGUAUCUUGUUAAAAUGGAUAAAUCUUGGAUAUGGUCAGCAAGAGUGUCCAAAGAAUAUGAAGAUGGAGUGCAGGGGUUAGUGAAUUUUGUUACGCUUAAUUCUGAAAAUUGUAGAUUAGUUAGAUGUCCUUGUAAUGAGUGUUGCAACCUAGAGUUCCAUACUCCUGAACGAAUAAAGGGUCAUUUAUUUCAAAAUGGGUUUUUGCCAACAUAUAUUGUUUGGGAUAAACAUGGAGAGGUUGAUUCAAAUGCAGCCUCUGCAAGUUGCCCAAAGUAUUAUGAAAAUCACGAAUUUAGGUUCCAAGAUCACAGUAAUGUUGAGGACAUGAUCCAUGAUGCAUAUGAACAAUGUGAUCAAAAUCCUUAGUUUUAGGGAUAUACUUGAGGAUGCUGAGAAGCCUUGGUAUUUGGGUUCAAAGUAUUCUAAGUUGUCAAGGUUAAUGAAAUUGUAUAAUGUGAAAGGGAAGUAUGGGUGGUCUGACCAAGGGUUUAAUGCUUUGUUAGAAGUUCUUUCUGACAUGUUUCCAGAAAAGAAUAAUGUUCUGAAGUUGAUGUAUAAGGCCAAAAAAAUAAUGGAAAUACAUGCAUACAAGAAUGAUUGCAUUCUGUUCCGCAAAGAGUAUGCAGAUUUGAAUAAGUGUCCUACUUGUGGACAGUCUAAGUGGAAAAAUAAAAAAAAUGUCAAAAUAAGCAGUGGUAUUUUCCUCCUAUUUCUAGAUUUAAACUUAUGUUUCAAUCACCCCAAACUGCCGAGAACUUAACUUGGCAUGCUUUUCACCGAACUAGAGAUGGCAAACUUUGCCAUCCAACAGAUUCACCAGUAUGGCAUUUAGUUGACUCUAAGUGGCCUGAUUUUGGCCAAGAACCUAGAAAUCUUCGUCUAGCUCUCUCAACUGAUGGGGUUAAUCCACAUAGCACUCUUAGUUCUAUCUAUAGUUGCCGACCAGUCAUGUUGGUCAUUUACAAUCUUCCUUCAUGGAUGUGCAUGAAGACAAAAUUCAUUAGGUUGUCUUUAUUGAUAUAUGGACCUAAACAACCAAGGAAUGAUCUAGAUGUCUACCUAGCACCCUUAAUUGAUGAUUUGAAAAGUCUUUGGAAUAUUGGUGUAGAAACUUAUGAUACUUUUAAAAAGCAAACCUUCAAUUUGCAGGCUGUCUUGAUGUGGACUAUUAGUGACUUUCCCGCAUAUGGGAAUUUUUCAGGUUGUACUGUUAAAGGUUACUAUGCUUGUCCAGUCUGUGGCCUAGACAAAAAGUCACAGUGGCGUACACAUAGUAAAAAAUGUGUAUUUUUAGGGCACCGUCGAUUUUUGCCACAUGACCACUCAUUUAGAUCACUGAAGAAGGUUUUCAAUAAUAAGGCAGAAAGAGAUAAACCUCCAAAAACUUUGUUUGGUCAAGAAAUUUUGAAACAGGUAGAUGGUAUUAACUAUAAGAGUGGUUAGCAUAGAGGCAGCAAGCGAAAGCGUGAUGAUUGUGAUGAUGAUAUUGACAAAUUAUUCAAAAGAAAAUCAAUUUUUUUUUUAUUUAGCGUAUUGGCAACAUUUAUUAGUUCACCAUGUGUUAGAUGUGAUGCACAUUGAGGAAAUGUUUGUGAGAGCAUCUAUGGCACAUUACUUUAUCAAUCUGGAAAGACGAAAGAUGGGGUCAAGGCUAGAAGAGAUCUAAUUGAAUUACAUAUUAGGGGCAAAUUAAUUCCUAGUGAAAAUAAUAAAAAUUCCAUACCUGCAACACCUUACACCUUGAGUAAAAAAGAGAAAAAAAUGUUUUGUCAAACUUUGUUUGAAACCAAAGUUCCAGAAGGUUAUUCUUCCAACUUCAGGAGUCUUGUAAACUUGGAUGAUUGUCGGCUUCAAGGUCUUAAAUCUCAUGACUGCUACACUUUGAUGCAACAAUUGCUGCCCUUAGCAAUCCGUGGUUGUUUGCUAGAAAAUGUUAGAAAAGCUAUCAUUAGGAUGUGCUUUUACUUCAAUGCAUUAUGUAGUAAGGUGCUAGAAACGAAAUCUCUUGACAAACUGGAAAAACAACAUCAUGUCACUAUGUGCUUGUUUGAGCAAUUCUUCCAACCUUCUUUUUUUGACAUAAUGGUCCACUUAACGGUGCAUCUUGUUGACCAAGUCCGAUUAUGUGGACCAGUGAUUGACAAUAAAAAGUGUACAUUUAAUAAAGAUAAAAUUAUUAGUUUUGCACUUAUUGUGUCGAUUAAUGCGCUCAUCAUUUCUAAAUUAUCUUAAUACUCCCCAAAUAUAUUUUUAUGUUAAAUUAAUUCACAAAAUGUUAAUUUUUAUCUUGUAAAUAUUUUUUCAAGAAUAAAGAUGAAAUUGGAAUUGAAAGCGGGAAGAAAGAAGAGCUACUGGAGUACAAUUGAGGAGAUGUAAUAAUAAUAAAUAAAAAAUAAUAAAAACAAAAAAAGAACAAAAGCAUUGGCAAGCAUGUUGGUGAUGGUCAAGAGGCCAUCAUGCCGCCUGACCAUCACACAAUCCAAUAUGUAUAUAUAAUAUAAAAAAAAAAAUAUUAAUAUUAAUAAAAGAAAAGAAAAGAAGAUGAUUCCCUUGCCUAUAAAAGGCAAGGGGAUGCAAGCCAGAGAGGGGAGAAAAAGUUGAAGCCGAGAGAGAGAGUUGUAGCCAAGAGGGAACUGAAGAAUUUCUGUCUUUCUUUCUUUUCUUUUCUUGUUUCCUUUUGUAUCAAUUUUUCUUGUAAUAUAUUUCAAAAUUUUAUCAAAUAAAAAGAGUGUUGUGUUUUCUUUCACUAUGAGUGGCUAAUUUUACUAAGUUGAGGUGAAAUGUGAAGCUCAAUGUUUCAAACUAUAAAAUUUAUUAUUUUCUCAAAUGAGUUUUUAAGUUUAUUUUAUUCCUUUCUAAUUAUUUUUAUGUCAUGUUAAUUUAUAAAUUUCUUUGGAUCUGUAUGGUAUUUUGACAUAAUGUCGACACAUUAAUAUAGUGUGGCACUUUAGGUACUUUAUUCCAUAUUUAUCCACACACAUAAAAUUCAAUGAUAUAAUAAUUAACUAGUAAAAGUGAGGGCAAAAUAUAAAUGAGAGUAUUAAAAUUAUAGUUUGAAUACAGAGAAUGGAUCUCGAACCUUAGCAUAUUUUUAAAUUGAUUUCAAAUAAUUUCUUUUCCCCACAAUUAAUUUUCUUAGUUUUAAAUUGACUACUAGAUUUAAAAUUUCCUGUGGUUCGACCCCGGACUCACCGGGUUAUAUUAUAACUAGACACUCUUAUACUUAGGAGUAAUACACUUUUGAGUUGUGUCAAGUUUUUGCGCCGUUGCCGGGGAGUUUUCUAAAUUUGGUGUUAAUUUGUCUUUACUUUUUUUUUAUUUUUUUUUUCGUUACUAUCUUUCCGUGAUUCUAUUUUAUUCUCUUUUUACAAAACUUCAGUCAGCACCCCUCUUCUUUUUAAACCUUAACAUUAUCCAUAAAAUUUGUGAGAAACUUCAUCUUAACCCAGAAACUUUUGCAAAUCAGUCCCCAAAUCAAAUUUAUUUCUUUAAAUUUCUGCAAUUUACUUUCCGCAUUUAUUUUAAAUGGUCGAUUCUACCGCCUGACUGUUAUUUAAAUAUUGUUACUUUAUGUAUUUUUGUUUAAAUGGUCGGUUCUACCGCCAAACAUUUUAAUUUCAGUUUAUUUAUUCUUGUACAUUAAUUUAUUUUAUUUUAUUUUUUAUUAUAUGGCUGGUUUUAAAAUAUUGCCUAAAUUGUUUCUUUUAAUUUCUUUGUUUAUGGCUGGUUUCACCGCCUAAUUUAUUUAUUUAUUUAAUUCAGUUUGUUUAUUUUUAUUUUACAUUUAUUUUGCUUAUUUAAUUUCCAAUUUUUUUCCUGUAAUUUUCAUUUAGCGUUUUAUGCAUCAUUGGUUUAGCACACCUCAUUAGCAUUGCAUACGUCGUUGGUCUGGUACAAAUAAUGGCAGAUUAAUUAGACAUAGGAGCUUAAAAGUUUUUGGAGCACGAAAAUGACCAAGCCUUGCAAAAUCUUCAUGAACAGCCUAGGACACUUAGGGACUUCAUGCAUCCUACUAGAACAGGGUCACCAUCAUGCAUAGUUUUCCCUCCUGAUGAGUCACGUUUUAAUUUCAAACCUGGCAUCAUUCAACUUCUUCAUACUUUUCAUGGUUUCGAGUCUGAAAUUCAUAUUUGCAUUUAAGGGAGUUUGAGGAAGUCUGUAACACAUGUACUGAUCAAAAUUGUAGCAUGAAUAUAAUCAUGCUUAAGUUUUUUCUUUUCUCACUAAAGGAUAAAGCUAAAACAUGGCUACAAAAUCUUAGGUCAGGAUCCAUCAGAGCUUGGGAUGAAAUGCAAGCACAAUUUUUGAAAAAAUUCUUCCCACCCCACAGAACAAAUCACCACUUUCACUUAAAAUCAGGAGAAACCCUCUACCAAUGUUGGGAUAGAUUUAAAGAACUACUUAACAUUUGCCCACACCACGGUUUUGAAACAUGGAGAUUAGUGUCUUAUUUUUAUGAAGGAUUAACAUCCCAAGGUAGACAAGUUGUUGAAAUGAUGUGUAAUGGUGAGUUUAAAGAUAAAAGUCCUGAAGAUGCAUUAGAUUAUCUUGACUAUAUAGCAGAGAAUGCACAACACUGGGAUACAAUUGGGUCUUAUGAGUCAUCAAGUAAACCCUAGUCAUCUCCAUCAGGUGGAGGCAUGCAUAACCUUAGGGAAGACCAUAAUUUUCAAGCCAAAUUUGCAUCAUUAGCUAGAAAAGUCAAAGCAUUAGAGUUAAAAAAGAAUGAUCAUGUAAAGUCUGUUUAAAAUAUUUCAUGUUAUGUUUGCGAUUCUACUGACCAUUCUACGUAGGACUGUCCAACCUUGCCAGCUUUGAGAGAAAGUUUGCACGAACAAGUAAAUGUUGUUAACAAUUUCAAAAGGCCAAAUCCAAAUCCAUACUCCCAAACUUACAACUCUGGUUGGAGAAACCACCUAAAUUUCAGUUGGAGAAAUAACAAUCAUGCACAACCUUCACAAUCAGUUCCUCUGUGUCAAAUUUCUAAAACUCCCAAAGUUACCCACUAGAUGUCCCACCACCAAGAAAAACUCUGAAAGACACAUUGUUAGAGCAGAUGUUAGUCGAUUAAUAACCAAACGAUGCAAACCUUAACCAAUUUGACAGAAACUAUCUCCAAACUAACAUCUGCUCUAACCAUGCAUGAAAAAGGAAAGUUUCCUGCUCAACCUAAACCAAACCCUAAAGGUUAACAACAUCCUUAAAUGGAAAAUUCAGGAAACCAAGAUAUGAGUCAAGUCAAAUUGGUUAUAACCCUUCGUGGUGGUAAAGUGGUCGAAAAACACAUUGUGGACCCUCGUGAAACUAGUAAAGAUUCAAGUUCAGAAAAUAGAGAAGAGUCUGUCAAACCUUUAACCCAUGAAGAAAUAACCAACUCUCCUCCUGUACCCCCAUUUCCUCAAGCACUAAUCAAGCUAAAGAAAUCAAACUAUAGUCCAGAAAUUUACGAAGUUUUUAAACAAGUAAAGGUCAACAUUCCUCUGCUAGAUGUCAUUAAACAAGUACCUUCUUAUAAUAAAUUUUUGAAAGAUCUAUGCACGAUGAAAAGGAAACAUAAGGUGCAAAAGAGAGCUUUUCUAGCAGAACAAGUUCCAUUCUCUCAACCAAUAGUACUUUGAAAUAUAAGGAUCCUAGUUGUCAAACUAUUUCUUGCACUAUUGGGGAUCAUAAAAUUGGACAUGCUUUACUUGAUCUUGGUGCCAGUGUUAAUUUGCUUCCUUACUCAGUAUACCAAUAACCCAAUCUCGAUGAAUUAAAACCAACUUAUACUACUCUUUUACUUGCUGAUAGAUCGAUUAAGUUUCCAAAAGGAAUAAUUGAAGAUGUAUUAGUUUGAGUCGAUAAAUUCAUAUAUCCUGUGGAUUUUAUUGUUUUGGAAAUGGAACCAAUUGCUAAUGAAUGCAAACAAAUUCCUGCUAUAUUGGGUCGACCAUUUUUAGUUACUGCUAAUGCUUUGAUUAAUUACAGGAAUAGAUUAAUGAAUUUAUCCUUCUGUAACAUGACAUUGGAACUCAAUGUGUUUAACAUGUGUAAACAACCUCACCACCAAGAGGAUGAUGAUAAUGAGAAUGAGGAGAUUGAUCUCAUCGAGCCAAUCAUUGAGGAACUUAUUCAGGAUGAGAAUUUUACAAACUCUGUGGAAAUUUGUUUUGCUGGUUCUUUUGAAUCAAGUAAGGAAUUAAAUUGUGAUACUGCUAACAUAUGUUCUACACUUGAUUCUAUGCAGGUACUUGCAGGUGACGAUGACCAAUCAAACUUUGAAGAUACAAUACAACCUGAAGAACCAAACGAAGAGGAAGCACCAGAGCUCGAAUUAAAGCCCUUACCAAAAGAAUUAAAGUAUGUCUAUCCUGGAGAACAACAAACAUAUCCGGUGGUAAUUUAUUCCCAGCUCACACAUGAUCAAGAAGGUAAGUUGUUAUCUGUACUAAAAAAGCAUAAAACUGCAUUUGGUUGGACUUUAAAAGACAUAAAAGGCAUUAAUCCUUUAAUUUGCACACACUGAAUACACUCAGAGGAAAAUGCCAAAACAUCCCGUCAACCACAAAAGAAGAUUAAACCCUCAUAUGAAAGAAGUGGUAAAAAAUGAGGUCCUUAAACUACUGGAUGUAGGAAUUAUCUACCCUAUCUCUGAUAGUAAAUGGGUAAGUCCAACACAAGUAAUAUCGAAAAAAUCUAGAAUAACUGUUGUAAAAAAUGAAAAAGGUGAACCAAUCCCAACACGAAUUCCAUCUAGUUGGCGUAUGUGCAUUGAUUACAGAAAAUUAAAUGAUGCCACUAAAAAAUAUCAUUUUCCCCUUCCAUUUCUAGACCAAAUUCUCGAAAGAGUGGCUGGACAUCCCUACUACUGCUUUCUUGAUGGCUACUCUAGCUAUUAUCAAAUCUCUAUAGCCUUAGAAGACCAGGAAAAACCAUAUUCACAUGCCCAUUUGGAACAUUUACAUUUAAGAGAAUGUCUUUUGGACUUUGUAAUGCUCCUGCAAUAUUUCAAAGGUGCAUGCUAAGCAUUUUUAGUGACAUGGUUGAAAAUUGUCUAGAGGUUUUUAUGGAUGAUUUAACUGUAUUUGGUAAUUCUUUUGAUACAUGUCUUGAUAAUCUAGAAAAAGUUUUGGAAAGGUUCAAAGAAAAAGGACUAGUUUUAAAUUGGGAAAAAAUGUCAUUUCAUGACCACUUUUGGAAUUGUCUUUGGCCAUGUUAUGUCUUCAAAAGGAAUUGAAGUUGACAAAGCCAAAGUUGAAGUCAUUUGAAAAUUACCCUCACCAAAGACAAUUAGAGAAGUUUGUUCCUUUUUAGGAGGUUUAUAAAAGACUUUAGUGCUAUAUCUAGACCACUUUGUAACCUCCUAAUAAAAGACACACAUUUUGAAUGGACUAAAGAUUGUCAACAAUCUUUUGAAAAAAUAACUUCUCUUUUGAUAUCUGCCGCGAUAAUGCAACCCCCUGAUUGGUCUUUACCUUUUGAGCUAAUGUGUGAUGCUAGUGAUUAUGUUAUUGGUGCUAUUCUAGGUCAAAAAAAGGAAGGUAAACCCUUUGUCAUCUAUUAUACAAGUAGAACUUUUAAUAAUGCUCAAAUGAAUUACACUACAACUGAGAAAGAACUACUUGCUGUAAUAUGUGCAUUGGAUAAAUUUCGUUCGUAUUUAAUUGAUUCAUCCACUAUUGUUUAUUCUGAUCAUGUUGCUGUGAGAUAUUUAAUGUCAAAACAGGAUGCCAAACCAAGGUUGAUACGAUGGAUUUUGCUACUUCAAAAAUUUAACUUGAAAAUCAAGGACAAAAAGGGCACUGAAAAUGUUGUCGCAGAUCAUCUUUCAAGACUUACGAAUGAGUCUUCAAUUGAAACAACAACCAUCAAUGAUUAUUUCCCUAAUGAAUUUUUAUUUUCUAUAAACAAAAUGUCUUGGUAUGCUAAUAUUAUUAAUUAUCUUGCAAUAGGUGAAAUUCUUAACAGAAGUGAGAAGUUUUUAUUGGGAUGAUCUAUAACCAUUUAAGUACUGCUCUAAUCAAAAUUUUCGAAGAUGCAUACCAGACGAUGAGGUAAGUAAGGUCAUUCAAUUUUGUCAUUCUGAAGCAUGCGGUGGCCAUUUUUCUUCAAAAAAGACAGCUGCAAAAAUAUUACAGUGUGGAUUUUAUUGACCUACAUUAUUUAAAGAUUCACAUGCAUUCUGCAAAGUGUGUAAGAAUUGUCAAAUGGUAGGGUCUAUUUCAAAGCGAAACAUGAUGCCUUUAAACCCCAUCCUUGUCAUUGAAAUAUUUAAUUGUUGGGAAAUUGAUUUUAUGAGCCCUUUUCCAUCAUCAUUUGGAUUUGUAUACAUUUUUGUUGCUGUUGAUUAUGUUUCAAAAUGGAUCAAGGCGAUUCCUUGUCGGCACAAUGAUCACAAGAUUGUGAUUUGCUUUUUAAAAGAAAAUCUUUUGAGCAGAUUUGGAAUACCUCAAGCCAUUAUCAGUGAUGGAGGUAAGCAUUUUUGUAAUAAGACAUUUGAGUCCUUAAUGAAGAAAUAUGGAAUUACACAUAAAGUUGCUACUCUUUAUUACCCUCAAACAAGUGGUCAAGUUGAAUUAGCAAAUAAGGAGAUAAAACAAAUUUUAGAAAAGACAGUUAAUGCAAAUAGUAAAGAUUGGUCUCUUCGACUAAUUGAUGCACUUUGGGCAUAUCGUACUGCUUUUAAAACAUCUUUAGGAAUGUCACCCUAUCGGCUUGUUUAUGGAAAAUCUUGCCACUUACCAGUUGAACUUGAACAUAAAUCAUUUUGGGCCAUUAAAACUUUUAAUUCAAAUCUUGAUGAUGCUGGUAAUAUACGUAAAUUGCAAUUAAAUGAACUUGAGGAAUUAAGGAAUGAUCAUAUGAGAAUUCUAGAAAUAUUAAGGCAAGAACCAAAUUUUUCAUGACAAAAGAAUUUUUCGGAAAACAUUUGAAAUUGGUCAAAAAGUGUUACUUUAUAAUUCUCGUCUUCAUUUAUUUCCAGGGAAGUUAAAGUCAAAGUGGAAUCGUCCAUUUGUUGUAAAAAUGUGUAUCCAUAUGGAGCUGUAGAAUCGAGAAUCCGAAGGAUGGUGUCACAUUUAAAGUUAAUGGCCAAAGAUUAAAACCAUAUUUGCAAUACCAACCACGUGAAGCAGAUACCGAAAUCAAUUUGAGUGACCCACCAAAUUUUGAUUAAGCCUUUUCAUUUUAACUUUUUGUGAAUUUGAUUUACUGUUACUUUAUCGUUUGAAUUGUUUGAUUUUUUUUCCUUUUCCCAUGUCUUGAAUGGAGUGCAUUGCAUUGUCUUUAAUUGUGUGUUGUUUGACAAUUGUGUUUUAGCUCACCAAAUUUUUAUAUUUGUCAUGAGUACCUCCAUGAGAAAUUUCCUUUUCGAUCAUCUUAAAACGCUUUUACAUGUAAAAUUUCACCUGAGGAAAUUGCUCCAAUUUUGUAAAUCACGUCCCAUUUGGGAUCUACAACCACCAAAGUUAUUAUCCCAGGUGAAAGAUCUAGAAAGACAACUCAAGGAAAUAGAGGAUGGUAUUUAUAAUCUGCAAUUGGAAAGGUUCAUGAUUAAUGUGCUGCAAUGUGCCUGUGUUGGUUUGAUUUUGUUGGAAUUAAUCAUAAGUCUGAUUGCCUCUUAUUGUUACUGCUACUCAGGCAAUUGAAGAUAGCAAUGCUACUAUUGCCUUUUCUUUUGAUGCAUUUGCCUCCAAUGUUUUGCUACUACUCAGGCCGAGGGAUAGAGCAAUGUUACUGCUGCUGCUUCUUAUUCUAAUCUAUUUGCCUUAUUAACUGCUAUUAAAGUUGUUGCCAAAACAAGAUGUUUUCUUUGUUUCAAAAUUAACCGUGGUUUUUGCUAGUAUUAUGCCAUUCAAGCUAUAUUUCAUGAAUUCAGUUGUUGAACCAAUUUGGUGAAUUGUAUGUUGAUUGUUAAAUGUAGAAUGGAGCUUGAUGGAAUUUGUUAAAUGAAAUAUUAUUGGGUUUUGAAUCCAACAUUUGUUCCAUAACUAUUGUUGAAAAUUGUUGUUUAAUGGCUUUAAUUUUAGGCUAUUGGUAAUUGUAAUAAUGAAAAUUUUAUUAUUUUUUCAAAUUUGCAAAAUCUAUUGACACCAUUUUAGCAUCUACAAAUAUUAAUAUUUUUAAAUCACAACACAAAUGAUACUAGCGCAUCAAAACAUGCUUCAUACCAUAGAAUCACUAUCUGCGUGACUGUAUAGAAUCACAAUUAUUUUGAUAUUAUCGAAUCACAAAUUGUUUGACACUGUAACAUCAAAGCGUAUGUGAUGUUACAAUGUAGGCAUUUCUUUGAUACUAAGGUGUCGUGGAAUCGUUGAUACAAAAAAUAUGUGUCAGAAAAUUUCUUACACCGUGAUCAGUGACACUAAACUCGGUGUCACUAAAAACCGUUACUGAUACCGAAAUAGUAUCAAAGAAGGCCAUUUUUCUACUAGUGUGUGUGAUUACUUAAAGGUUUCUGACAUGUUUCAAUUUUAAUUGUUUAUGUGACUACUUAAAGCUCUAUUUGUAGGUUUCAAUUUUAGUUAUUUAUGUGAUUGCUUAAAGUCAUCAUAAAAUAUGGUGACCCAUUCUAUCUUUCGUGGUGGUAGGUUCACAGUCACAAAAGACACUUUGUGAUGCCAUGUCAUUAGUAAUAUAAACUCUAGGAGACUCAUAUAUGUCAACGCUACCUGCCAUCUCAAAUAGGUCACAAGAGGUCAUAUGUGAUGGCAAAACAAAGGGCAUAUAAACCACUUUUUUUUUGUAGUGGUAAAUUAUCUUAUUUGUCCUUGCAUAUUUAUAAAUAAGCUAAAUUCUUGAUUUGCUAUCAUAGCAGUCUAUGUUGAAGAUAUGAAUUUAAUUGCAAUUCUCAGAUAUUUCCAAAAGACUACUGAUUAUUUGAAAAAAAGAGUUUAAAAUGAAAGAUUUUGAGAAACAACUAGAUACUACUUAGAGAUAUAGACCGAGCACAUGUCUCAUCGUAUCUUUUUCCAUCGUAUACUAAAAAGAUAUUAAAAUGCUUCAAUAUGAAUAAAGCUUACCCAUUAAGUACCCUAAUGAGAGUCUAAUUCUUGUCCUAAGAAAGACCUAUUUUGUCCCAAAAAGGAUGAUGAACAAGUACUUAGUCCUAAAUUACCAUAGUUGAACAUCGCUCUAAUGUAUUUAGCCCAAUGUACUAGACUAGAGAUAUUUAGUUUUAAACUAACUAGACAACAUUAGGAUGGUGUUAAACAUAUUUUUCCUUAUCUUUGUGGAACUAUUUAUUUGGGUUUAUUUUAUUCUAAUAAACUAAUUGUUGAUUUUCAUUCAUAUUCAACAUAAAAUUAGUGGGAGAUAUAGAAGUGUAAAUUUUCAUAUCUAAUUACAAAAGUUGAUCACAAUGAGGUUAUGUCACUAUAGAGAUAGAAGAUGAUCUCAUGGAAAAUUUUCAUGCCACUGUAUGCUUAUGGUUGGAGGAUAAUCAUAAUUAAAUAAAAUCCUCUUAGAUACUUAUUUUAGAUACAAUAGGUAUGUUGAUAUAGAAGCGCCAAUCUACCCUAUUAUGGGGCGCCAAUUCCAACAUCUCUCUCGCACGUGAUAGGUGACACUAUAAACAAAGUAACGAGAGUAAUAAGGUUUGAAGCCUUAAAUACAAUAUCAUAUAGGCAAAUGCAACAUGUAACCUAUGAAUAACAAGUUGGAGCUAAAAUAUUAAGAAAUAUUAAUUGUAAACAAAUGCAAGAGAUUAGAAAAUUUGUUCUUUAUGUAUCCUAGAUUUUAUUUUUAUUACUUCAAUCUAAACAUAUUUUAUCCCUUAGUAAAUAUAUGCUUGACUCAAUAAGCUCUAUAUAUCCACAGUUGUAACUAUCUCUAUAUGGAUUACUACUGGGCGACUGGUGAAUACACUAGUCAGAUGUAAGAAAAAAAAAACUUUUGAUUCUACUUACAUUUUGAAAAUUCUAAACCAAUUGCUUUCUUAGACAUUUUUCACAAGCAGCAUAACAUCAAAGCCAUAGAUAACAUUCUAAAGUAGCAGACAUUAAUAUUUUACCUCAAAAUAUAGUUGACGGUGACUAAGGAUACCAACCAAGGUUCAUAUUUACCUCGAAGGAACUUACAUAAUGAGGAAGUAAGGAUUCAUUAAGUUUUUUCUUCACUCAUUUUCCCUAUUGACCAUAAUAAGUGCGCAUGAUAUGAAUCACAGUUAUAAUGAAUUAUAUUUUAAUAAAGAGCAUAUGUCUAAUUAUUCACUGUACAUAUUUAUGUUUAGUCGCCACUAAAAGUGCCUGGCUUGAAUUUUAAUAAACUUUCCUUCACAAGGUGUUAAACUUAUAUCUAGUUUAAAUCAAGUUUCCAUGAAAAUGGAGUGUAUUGUAGUUGGUCUAAUAACUUACUUAAUGUGACCUCAUCUUGACUUAGUUGAGGCGACACAUUAUUUAGAAUUACAUAACUCCAAGACAAUAUACCACAUAUCUAAUUGUUUUGUAAUUCUAUAUGUCUCAUCCCAGCUUGCUGCUAUAGCAAAUGAGGGGACCUCUCGUGUAAGAUAGCUUGUCUUAACCUGACGACAUAUCUUUUUACAACCUGAUAUAUGUGGUUAUGCUAACCACGCAUUUUAAGUACUAAUUGGGUACUUCAUUGUUAACAAUUUGGUGUUAUAAGAAUAUCUAGCAAUGACAUUCUUAAUAUAUGACAACAAGCCUGCGAAUCGAUAAUAGGUCAAGCUUGUGCCACUAAACAUCUCUACUCACACCUUUCUACUGAUCUAUACCAUAUUGUGUAUGCAUAUAUAUUAUAAAACUGCAAUAUUUUGAUUAUCAAUAUGGUACAUCAAUGUCCUCUAUAUGUAAAACCUUUUUGUUUGGUUUAUCAUUUCCAAUCAUUAGUCUCUAAGUAUUUAUGAUGAUCUCAAGAUAUUAUAAAGAUUACUAAACAAAAUAUGCGUAUAGAAAUAUCCUCGUUAUGGACAAAGCCAUGCAUGUUUAUUAUCUUAAUAUCGCAUGUAAUAGCACUAAUGUUUUCCUAAGAUAUGUGCAUUUAUCUUGAGGUUAAAUUUCACUCAUCUAGAUUGCCAUACUUGUUGGUAUCCAAGCGCAAAUUUCUCAUAGAUACAAAGUGUAGUUCACAGUGCCAUAAAAGUAUGCUAAAUACCUCUUUAACAAACUCAAUGCUUUAUUUAGGAUUCGAUUAGUAUUUCUUAUCAAUCUCAUAGCACAUAUCAAGUGUUGUGCAUGUCAGUGUACCUGAGACCAUUAUUGGCAUUGAAAUAAAGAACACUAGACAUUUUAUUUUUUUGUAAAGGACUCUUCAAGGCCAUACAUUUUUCAUAUCUACAAGAGUAUCCAUUUAGCUUUCAAUUUAUCAUUUUGAAUCUUUUAAGGAUGUUUCUAAUCUAAAUAUCACUCUUAUGAUAUUGUUAAAAAUUUCUUAAAGGAUUCUAUUUGUAUUUAAAUUCCUGAAAUAUAAGUAGCUUUGCCCAUAUUUCAUUGGAUAAUCAAUACCAAUGGUUUUGACAAGAUCUUUUUUCUUUUUCUUUUUUUAAUUUCUAGUCAUCUAAAAAUAUCAUCUACAAGUAUAAAUGCAUUGGCUAUCUUAAAUCAUCCAAUAUUUGUAAAUAAAUAAGGCUUGAUGAAAAUUAAGAUUCCAUUUUUAAGAGAAUGUCAUAGAUAAUAUAGAUAUAUAGACUUUUUAGAGCAACCCGACUAUGUGCUUAAGGUCUUUAGCAAAAGCCUUUUGAGCAUACAGUCUACGCACUCAAAAUCUUUAAUAAAAUUCUUUUGAGCAAGUAAACUAUGAGCUUAAAAGUUUUGGCAACAUUAUUUUGAGCGUGCAACUAUGCGUUUAAAAGCUUUAGCAACAACACCUAGUAUUUGUUCCAUAUAUAUAUUUCUUCCUCUGAUUUUCUAUUGAGAUGCAUUAAUUACAUCUAUUGAUAUGACGAUGAAUGCAUGUGAAAGUUGACUAGAAAUAAUUGCCUUAGAGAAACCUCUUAGCCAAAAGUUUCUUUCUAAUUUAAACUCCUUAGAUAUAACUUUUAACAGUCCAUAUUGUACUUAUGCCUAUCGCUUUACACAUGCACAACCUUAUUCUUUGUAAUGGUUUAUUCAACAAUUGACCAACUGUGACUCGGACAUAAUUGUCAUUUAAUGACUUUAUCUAUUAAUAAUUGCUUUUAUCUAUAGUUCCUUAGCAUUUAGAGUGACAGUUCUGUACAAAUAAUCCUAACUUAUCACCACAAUAUGAAAUAAUUGUUAAGAAAUUCCUUUCAGUCUCUAAAAGAUGAUAUAUGAUUUUUUUUCAAUUAUUCCCAUUGAAUUGAGUUAUCUGGUCCCAUUAGGUGUUUGUUCAUACUAGAAUCAAGAUUUCUUAGUAAAUCUAACCUAUACUCAAUUCUUAACUCAAAAGUGAUAUCAUAAAAAGGAUAAUCCAAAUCAAAAUUUAGGAUAUAUCUUUAUCAACUUCUAUGACGCUUAGGAAUUCAAAAUUUUCAAGUUUGUGGUUUUAGAAUCCAGCCACUAUCUUAGCCAUUCAUUUAACAUUAAACACGUGCUUUAUUUGCUUAUUUGAAUUUUGAAUUUUGAAUUUUGAAGUAACUUUACCUAUAGCUGGAAUACUUAAGUGACUCAUUAUAUGAGAAAUUAGUUAAUUAUUUAAGAUACAAUUAAAUAGAGUAUCUCCAAAUAACAUAUUGGAAAAACUUAUGUGCUACUAUUACUUUAUCAAUUCUCAUAAUGCCUUAUCCCUUAAUUUCCACUACUCCAAGUAGUGCGUUAUUAUAAGAAUCAUCAAUUAUCUAUCUAUAUCUUUCUUAUAUAUAGUGCUCUAAAUUACUUGGAAAGAUAUGCAUAUUUCGGUUCAUGUUUAUUCCUUACCAUAUUCAAGAAAAACCUGAAGUAACGUAAUAUAACUGAUUUAUAGGAGAUCAUAAAGAUUAGAUUAAACUUGAUAUAUGCAUAAAUGUAAUCACUAAAGGCUUCAUUCUUAGCCUUUACAUUCUUUUUACUUUAAGUGUCAAAAUGGACAUUUACUAUUUUCCAAGUUAUUCUUCUAUAUUAAACAACUAUUCCAUAUAUGCUUUAUCAUUGUAGCGAGUGAUCCCAAUGUUCUCUUUCUAGCGAACUUAGCCAUUUGUCUCAGUCCAAUAUGCCAAAUUUUAAUAUGUACAUUAUCACCACAAAAUGAUGCAUAAUGAUCAACUUUUCAUAAAACCUCUUUUCAAAAGUGGUUAAAAAACACUCAAAAGUAAAAAUCUUAGAUGGUUAAUGAUAAAGACUAAGUUUUUGUUGUAUAUUUGUCAUUGGAAAAAUAAGGACCGCGCAAUACCAACUUGCAAGUGCUUAUACUAUUAAGUUCUACAGCGAGUAUAUUUCCAUUUGUCCUUUCCUUUCCUUUGACAAUUACAAAAGAACAAAAAUUCAAAACCUUUUUGUUAUCUCUGGUCCCAAGUCAUGGCUACUUAGUCUAUUUCUGUUCAAUGCAAUCACGAGCGAGUAAUUGAAAUACAUGGUGAGUAAGCAUCUAUGUAUUGUCCUUCUAUUUUCUAAGCAUGCUUGCCUCAUUUGGCAAUUUCUAGCAUUAGAUUGCUGAGAUGAGGAUUGAGUCCUAAACUCCCACUAGGAAAGAUUACCCUUUCUCUUAUGCUCAAAGCUUGAAGCUUUCCACAAGUUAAACUCUUUCUUGUUAAGUUGAUUUAGAAAGCAUUACUGGUUCUAUGCACUUAUUUUCUCAAACAAGUAUCAAUCACAUGAUGUUUGCUAAAAGUAUUAGUUGUCUCUAGGUGCCCAUUUUCUAUGUAUAUUUGAUUAGAAGUUCUAGUACUCUAUUGGCACCAUUCUUCAAAUCCUUAAGGUUAUGCAUUAUAUAAAUUCUCAUAUUGUCCCAACUAUUGGGGUUGGACAUUUUAUUGCCUGGACCUAAUAUUGACAUUUACAAUGUGUCUAGCAUAUUUGAGCUCUAUUUUAUGGGCAACCUAAUACAUCUUGGACUUAUUAAUAAGCUCAUAAAAUAUGUUACUCAGCAAUAAGAUGAGAGAAUGCUCCUAUCUUCUAAAGAGAAGUGGUAUGCACCAGUUCAAAAUUAGUAUUUAUUUAAAGUCUCAUGAUUUAAUUCCAAAUCAUAAAAUAAAUUCAAUCAAUGUUAUAUAGUAUUCAUUUGAUACACAUUUAAUAUAUUUUGCCACAACCAUAUACCAAAUUAAUGAAAAUUUCAUAUGAGGAUUGGAAUCAAAAAGUCUUCGAGGCUUUCAAUCAUCAUCUUUUCCAAACAUUAAAUCAACGUAAUUAUAUUUUAUUGCUCAAAACAUUUAGUUCAAUUAUUAUUUAUUCAUAGAAUCUUAAUAUUCGAACUCUCACUAUGAAUUUAUAAAUAUAAUGGGAAUAAAGUAGCCUCCAUACAUUUAUUCAUGUGAAUAAUACACCAUAAAAUUUCCUAGGAAAUCGGUGGGGUCUAAUAGUCCCACUUAAAUACCCAUUUUUCUUAGAUUAUUAUCGUCUUUUUAACCUAAUGUUUCUAGAUAUAUCAUACAUUACCAAUACUACCCUAUAAAUCCCAAUAAAUUUUAAUCUUCUUGUGUUCUCAUUAAAAUGAUUACAUUUGACAUAAAAACAUAAUUCAUAAAUCAAUUCAUCAUGAUCAUCGUAUGGAUUAAUAAAACAAUCAUGCUUGUCUUAAAACAAACAAUAUAAAUUAUCUCAACAAGUAUUAGAUAAUUUACCAAUAUGCAUUUUUAGGAGAGCACAUAUAUUAUCAUGUUGAAACAGAUCUCAUAAAAGCAUAACACUAUUAAUCGCAUCUCAAAAUAUUUAAAAAUUUAUUUUUCUCAAAUUUUAUCUCACUUUUAAAUUAUUGUUUUAUUUAAACAUCUUCAAAAGAAUUUAAUUCAAAAAAAUUUAAUAUAAGCAAUAAAUGUUUUCUAGAUCACAAAAUAAAAGACAAUAAAAUUACAAGAUAGUUACCAUAAAUAGCGCCAAAAUAGAAGUUAAGAAGAUAGCGCAUGUAUCUCACUCUCCGAAGACAAAAGUGGGUCAAAUGCAACCAAGCAAUGAUGCGUUGACCAAGCCGGCAAGCUAGUUUAAAUCUCUCACACUGGCACAUCAGCUCACUUGGUUUAACCAGCUGGCUCUACAGUGUUUUACUUGUUCUACUUGAAGAGACUAAGACUAUAAUACAUGGACCUAUUGCUAGUAAUUGUUUAAUGACAACUGAUGACCUUUCGACUUAGAAUAUUGCCCUAAUUUUAUAUCUAAAUUUGUUUCUGAUAUAGUAUAGUAUUGUGAUUCACGCGCCAUCAUGGUGGGUGAUAUGGUGGAUCUAGCACUGUUCAUCGUCUUAUGCAUUAUCCAAAUUUUUAAAUUUCAAACUAGAAAUUCAAUUGGCUUGUUCUCUCUCCAUAUAACUCAAAAUUAUGCGCACAAUGUAUCAUUGGAAAGAUCUCUUAAUAAUCUUUCUAAUGAUAUCAAGUUAUAGAGAAUUAAUAAUUGUAUCAAAAGUUGUAAGUAAACGAAUCCUACAAGUUCAUGAAUUAGGGUUUUUGUUUUCUCAUAAGCUAGGCCAUAUCAAUUCUUUCUAAUGAUAUCAAGUUAUAGAGAAUUAAUGAUUGUAUCAAAAGUUGUAAGUAAACGAAUCCUACAAGUUCAUGAAUUAGGGUUUCUGUUUUCUCAUAAGCUAGGCCAUAUCAAUUCUUUCUAAUGACAUCAAGUUAUAGAGAAUUAAUGAUUGUAUCAAAAGUUGUAAGUAAACGAAUCCUACAGGUUCAUGAAUUAGGGUUUUUGUUUUCUCAUAAGCUGGGCCAUAUCAAUUCAUACAAAAAUCCAGAUUUAAUCUACAUUUAUUCAUGUGAUUGUAAACCAAAAAUCAAGGCCUAAUGAUGAGUGAUUCAUUACAUACCAUUAAACUAUGUUCUACACGCCAAAAACAUAUUUCAUCAAAGAACAUGGCAUGUCUAAUGCAAAUACAUUCAAAACAGAAUAUAACCUAAUCUGGCUCUGAUACUAAAAUUGAUUUUCAUUCAUAUUCAACAUACAAUUAAUGAGAGAUCCAAAAGCAUAUCUUUUGACCUUUGAAUGUAAAGUAAAACACAACAAGGUUAUGUCACUGUAAAGACAGAGGAUAAUCUCAUGGAAAAUCCUCUUGCCACUUUAUGCCUAUGGUCAGAGGAUAAUCAUAAUUAAAGAAAAUCCCCUUAGAUCACUUUGUAAGAGCCCACCGCCUUUUCUCUUGUUUUCAAUCUUUGGAUUCUCUAUAUAUUAUUACACACAUAUACUUUAGAUACAAUAAGUGUGUUUAUAUAAAAGCUAAUAAGAGUGAUUGAAGUAAACUAAGAAACUUAACUAAAAUACUUCAUAACUCUUGGAGUUCGAUUAGACUUACAAUAGUCAUAUGAAACUCUAUUAAAAAAAACUUCUAAAUGUUUUCUUUUGUUGGGCUAACUAGCCCAUCAUUGGCAUAAUUCUGACACUAACCAUAAAUCUAGGUCUUGUUGGUUAUGCAUAUGCGUGUUAUUUAUUCUUAUAAACCUUGUUCAUAGACAAAAUAUGUUUUUGCUAAAGUAGAACAGUGAUUUCUUGAAAAUCUAUGAAGUAAAGUCCUAUAUCUACGUGCUCCAAUCACUUUGAGAUCUUUGUGCUGCAUGAAACAAGUAGAGAAUGCAUAUACUUAGUCCAUCAUCCAAUAAAUCCAGCGUGCUAAUAAAUAAUCUUGAAGCGCGGACAUCCCAAUGAUGAUAUAUGAAAAACAACUAAGGGGGAAAUAUAUUAAAAGAAAUAGAACAAAGCAUAUCUCACUGAAGUUCUUCUACAUUCAUGUGCCCUAACAAAAUAAGAAGAUCGAUAUCAAGUAGAUACAUUGCAUAGAUAAUUUUACAAAUACAUUUACUAAAGCUCUAGCCACAUCAAUAUUUGAUAAUAUAGUACAUGGCAUCAAAAUGUGCCAUUUAAACAAACUAUCGAGUUGAUCAUCAAAAGGAACGCUGGUUAAUGAGUGUAAUUCUAAUGAGAAAAUAACUUUAAUUGCUAAAUUGGUACAUGUGCACUGUACUCUUUGUCUUUGACUAGAUUUUCCCACUAAGAUUAGUUUAGAAAAUAAGAAUAGGUUAUGUGAUGGAUUUAGCAUCCAAAAUGUUAUUCGCCCACCCUACUCGUGAAAUAACAUCUAAAGUACAAUUAGUCCUAUUAACAUAGAUCUAUCUGCUAGCUGUCAAUAUGUUUUUUGCCACCAUUAUCAGAGUUCAAGUAAGAGAUACAUAGUGACAAUAACUCAGUUAGUAAGUGAGGUUUUAGAUUUCCAAACAAAUAUUUUAUAGAAAGACAUUAAAUCAAAAGCAUUUAUUGUGGAAAAAAAGGUUUUCAAUCAAAAGAUUAAUAAGAUCUUCUAAAUUAAUGUAAAAGACAAAGUACAAAACAGUUAAUACUCGUUUAUGUAUCAAUAUAAUGAAAAGAAUCAUAAUUUUUGUGUUUAUUGAUUCCUAUAACCAUCUGCUUUUAAUGCAAGAAUGUGCACUUAUGCCUUAUUCUUAAGAAAUAUAACAACUUAUGUUAAGUGUUAGAGAAUGUAUAUUUAAAAAUGGUAAAAUCCUUAUUUUGCACUUCAAGUCUUGUAACAUUUUUACUUUUAUGUAUUUAAGCCCUUUAAACUUUGAUUGUGUAUUUUGUUAUAAUCUAAGUAUUUUAGGGAUAUUUUAGUCAUUUCAUGAUUAAAAUCGACUAGCAAAACAUAUACCAUUUUUUAGCUUAGAAUAGCUCAAAAUCAUAAGAAGUUCAUAAAAGGCAAAAUCAUAAUUUUAGGAUUUUGGUUGGCCAAGCUAACAUGGCACUGUCCAAUGACGUGGCAACAUCCUGUUGCGUUGACUGAUGAUGUGAUAGUAUCCUAUUGGGCCAAAAAAUUAGCUUACGAUACAUGCAAUACACUCAAUCAAUGCUAGUUGAUUUUUGCCUUAACUGGUGACAUGGCAACAUGAAAAAAUGUGUUUACGUCAUAUCCAAUUCACCGAAUCGCAGUCUUGGUGACAUAUCCUAUCCAAUCAAAGCUUGGUACGUGGUGCACUCCUGAGCAUUCGAGUUGUUUUCAUCUAAUAGCCAUGAUUUACCAAUUGUAUCUAUAAAUAGGGGACUGCCCCCCUAAUUCGAGGGUCUAAAUCCAAAUUUGAUCGUCAUUUCAUAUAAUUCUCUUUCAUCUUAUUUUUACCUUGUUACUCCUAGUUUAGUAUGAGUGGCUAAUCAAGUUUCAAUAUUUAGUUGAAGGUGAAGCGUCAACAUGAUCCAUGUGUUUAAUUCGGUAAAUUUAUUAACUCUCUUUCUAAUUUAUUUGGCUUAUUUUAACUCAUCGUUAAUAGACAAUAAUAAUCUUAUCUAAAUUUUACAUGGUGUAUUGGCUCCUCAGAGUAAGAUCAUAACUAAGAAUGCAUCUAAGUUGUUUAGUGGACGGUCUUACAAUAUUGUCGACAGUAAGAUUAUUAUUGCCUGGCACAACGUGUGCUUGACACCACAUUUAGUGGAAGAUUAUUUUCCCUUGGAACAUUGAGUGCUUGAUACUAUAUUUAUUAGAAUGAGGAUUAUAAAGAGUGAAAAAUAACCUCCCCCAUAAAUUAAUUAAAGCUAGAAAGGAAUAUUAAGAUCAUGGUAAAGUGUUGAAUGUAAAUCUAGAGACUCAGGUAUUUAAUUUGAAUUGUUUCAUCUUUAAUUUAUUCCUACAUCUUUUUAAUUUAAAUUUCAGUACUAUUCAGAAUUUACAUCCAACCAAUUUACAUAUAAAAUUGAAAAAUUAACCUUAUACAUAAUUAUAUCUACCUCUUUGUGGGAUCAACACUCUUCACUAUUAAUUUAUACUACAAUAGGUUCAUGCACUUGCAAGUAUAAUAAAAUUUGAAAAAUAACUUUGCAAGCAACCUAAGAAGAUUUGGUAAAAGAAUUCGAGAUUUCACUUAAAUUUCCAUCUGACUUACUAGACAUGCAAGUGUAAGCAUGAGAAUCUCUUGGACAUAACCAAGAUCAAAACGAUUAUCUUAAACAGAAGAGACUAAAAAAUUUACAUUUGGCAAACUAGGUUACUUAUCGAAAUAGAUUUCUUUCUUUCCGAUCAAACAUUGAAAAAUCCAUUAUUUUUUUUCUACUUUAUGCAAUUAGACAAUAAUGAAAAAUAAAUUAUAAAUAUAAGGGUAGGUUCAAGGGAUACAACUUUUAUACACAAAUUUAAUCACAAUUUUCUAAUUAGUGGAUCAGAAAAAAAAAUUAAAGGUCAAGACUUGAUGACAUGAUUUAUUAGUUUUAUUAGUAUUCCUUUCAAUAAUACUCUAUCUUUCUCCUCUCUUCUCUUUGAUAUGAGAAAAUAUUUUUUUACUCCUAGGGUUCGUUACAAUAGCUUAUUUCACCUUUACCUUUUAAAUAAUAAACUAUUAAUUUUAUUAAUAUUCCUCUCAUUAAUAUUUUAUCUUUCUCUUCUAUUCUCUUUAAUAUGGGAAAAUGUCUUUUUUACCCUAGGGUUCGAUGCAAUAGCCCAUAUCAUUCUUAUAUUUUAAACAAUGACCUAUUUUAUCUCUACUUUUCAAACAGUAGUGGAAAAUACCCUUAUGUGAAUUUACACAUAGUUUAAUGUAUAAUUUUUCAAGGGCAAAAUAUGAUUUUUAGUUAAAUAGAUGUAAAUAAAAAUCUCAAGAAUAGUUAAUUAGCAUAUGACUUUCUACAUAAAUUUAAAAUUUAAGAAUAACUUAAAGAAACAAAAAUAACACUAAAGAGUAUGCAAUAUAUAUAUAUACACACAUAUAUAUACAUAUAUAUAUAUAUAUAUAUGUAUAUAUAUAUAUGUAUAUAUAUAUAUAUAUAUAUGUAUAUAUAUAUGUUGUGCAAAUUUUAUUGAACUCGCAAGUAUAUGAAUCUAUUGUGGAAUAGAUUAAUGGUGACGAGUGUCGAUCCCAUGAGGAGGUGGAUUUUAAUUAUAUGUAGAAUUAAUUUUGUAUGAGGGUGGUUGGAUUUGUAGUGAAAGUGACUUAGAUUAUCCUAAAAUUGGAAUUGAAAUGGCGAGAAUAAAUUAAAGAGAAAUCUAUUGAAAUGAUGUAUUGGGGUAUCUGGAUCCGUAUCAACAUGCACCAUGUGUUAAAUAUUCCUUAUUAAUGCCAAUUAAAUCAUGAGGGGGCAAUCCACACCUCAUGAACCACACUCUAAUCAAUAUGGUGCUAAGGGCUUAUCGUGCCAAAUAAUAAUAACCUUGUACUAGAGAGCUGGUGAAACCAAGGCGGUAUGUAGACAAGAUUAUUAUUAUUUGUUGACGAGAAGUCAAAACAUCCAUAAAAACUAGAGGGGAAGAGAAAAUAAAUGUACCAAAUAAAGCCCAUGACACAUGUUGAAACUUCACAUUCAACCCAAGAUUGAAAGAAAAUUAGCUACUCAUAAUUGAAGUAGGGGCAAAAUGGAAAUUUAUAAAAUUACAUAGAAAAUACAAGAUGGAGAAGGAAUUACAGAAAAUGGAGUCCAAAAAUGGAUUAUGAGAUAUCAAAUUAGGGGGCGAGGUCCCCUUUUUAUAGAUACAUUGAGUAAAUCAUUGCCAUCAGAUUAAAAACAGUUUGGACGCUCAGGAUUGUGCCUAUGUUUGAGAAAAAUGCAGAGAAUUUCUUUUUUUUUUUGUUUUGGAAGUUGCAAGGUAGAUUUCACCUAUUAUUGUUAUUAUUUUUUUCUCUCUUUUUUUUUGAACCAACAAUUUUUUUUUUGUUUGGCACAACUUGAUUGAACAAAAUAAUUAUUUACAUUUUUCUCAAACAUAAAUAGGUGAUGGAACGUGUAAGAUAUUAGGUAAUACUCCAAAUCGGAGUGGGUCAAGAUGAUAAGUUUGACAAAGAAAAUGUUUGUUUUUAAAAAGGCUCAAAAGGGUUAACUAUGGAUAUUUCAUAAAAGCGAUGGCUAAAAAGGCUCAAACGGAUCAAAGAUGGCCUUUCCAUCGUCUUUUAGGGCUCUAAAUAAUCUUCCAUGUUUACUAGUUAGAUGGGCCUCCAAAUGUAGCAACACACAUUUUUUUUCAUUUUUUUAAGGGUUAACUCAAAAGAAAUCUAGAGAUCGUGUAUAAAAUAAUAAACUGCUAAGCUAUAUAAAGAAUGGGCAUAAUGGUUACUCUCCAAGAAAAAUGAUAGGCUCAAGAACUCACUUGCUACUUAUUAUGACAUGUUCAUUCCUUCAAGCAACUCAUAUUUGUCUCCGACAUCGACAUGUAGAGUAGCAAACAUAGUGUAACAUCACUUAAGACCAAACAUAAUACAAAUACUAAAAUUUAAAAUUAAUCAUGUCAUCCAAUGUUAAAACAAAUCACAUAAUUUUUUUUUCAAACAACAUUAUACCCACCAACCUAUUCUAAACAUGAAAUGAAAAUAUGCAUGCAGAAAUGCGAAAAUGAUGCAGAAAAACUAAUUAGAAAAGUUACACUUAAAAUGAUAGAAAAAGAAAAUAUUUUUUUUAAACUUAGAAGAUGCGUUUCUAGAGGCACUACACUCCAUAUUCAGCCAUCUUCGACUCAAAAAUUUGAAAAUGUAUAUUUAUAAAGGAGAAAUUAAAAAGAAGAAGAAAAAUGAACAUCAAAACCUAAUAAAGAAAAAGAAAAUGUGUGAAUUUUUUUUUUCAAAUGAUGAAGAUGCGUUUCUAGAGUCACUACACUCCAUAUUCAGCCAUCUUCAAUACAAAAAGUUAGCAACAGGUAGUUUCUACAACAACAAAUCAAUAAAAACUUAACCAAGAUUCCACAAUUGUUGACUAUUCCCUCCACCCAACUAGAACGAAACAUUGUCCUCAAUAUUUUAAAGGAAAUAAGAAGAGUUUAGAAGACAUCACCUGGGUGGUGUAACAUAGAAGAAAAUAUUUACAAGCGGAGAGUUAAAUCUAAUUUGUACUUCUUACUGCGGCUACUCUUACCAUCAUUAUUUGAAUACUCCAACACAAAGAUCCAGGGGUCUGGCUCCGGUUUAUAAGCUUGUAGCAGAUCAAGUAGCUCAUUAGCAGUGUGAGCACAAAUAAAAAGUUUUUUCGCAUUGGAAGGAAUGAAAUAAUUUUUUAUUGUAUGGUUAAGAAAUGUGAUAAAGCCAUCAUAAAAGUUAUUGACAUUUAACAAACCGAUGGGUUUUUGGUGAAUGUGCAGAUGGGCCCAAGAUGCUAGUGUGAUAAGUGCCUCUAGUGUUGCAAGAUCUCCUGGAAGGAAAAUAAAAGCAUCAGCAUGAUUAAGCAUU